rnacentral:lncRNA from 1 species
CAUUGAUUUUUUAAAGACUAGCGAGGAAUUCUUUUGGAUUAAGAUGCAACACGGUUAAUGGAUGUCUCAUGUUCAGAUUUACAAGUCUGUUCUGUUAUAAAUAGAGAGAGUACAUUACGUAUUAGUUUUCUUAUGGAGUAGAACAAGCCACUAGGAAAAAGAGAGUAUGUUAUUUCUCUUCUUCAUACAAUUUCAGUAGGAAACUAACCUGGUUCCAUCUUCCCAUCCAUUACAAGUAGGAAUGACAUAAUGCGACAUGUGAGCAAUUAUGAUAGAACGAGGAGCUACUACAAUUGAACUUGACAAAUUCACGUGACUUUAACUAUCUUCAUCUCUACGAAGAAACUUCAAUUGAAGUCACCGACUGGUUUGGGAACUACUAGUUCCAAGUCAAUGUUGAUUAUCUUCGCCCAUUCAAUUGAUAGGUGAAUAAUUGUUUUCAUCUUUACAUUGGAAACAUCAAAACUAUGUUAGAUUUGAAUUGAAAAACCCAGUGAUCUUGAUCCUUAAAAAUCCAGAAUCUUUUCUGCAUACAAGUCACAGAAAAUGCUCAUAACUCUCACCUUUUUAGACAUCGAAAGUUUGUUCAAUUCUGACAACUCCAGUAGCUUGCAACCUCUAAACACCGAAACUCUAUUGGAUUAUGAUAAUAGAUGACAUCUACAACUUUACCUGUCUAGUUUGUCAUCUCCUAGAUAUUGAACUUUUGUUGCAUAUGGUAUUAGAAACUAGCUAUACUGUAAAAUUAACCAGUUUAACUUGUCCUUUGCCAAAGUAGAAACAUCAUGAUCGCAUGUCUCAUUUCUUGACAGCUCGAAGUUGUAGGUCCUGAAGGACCACCAGAUAGGCACGGUGAUGAAGACCAUCCCCAUUUUUUUAGGCUUCAGUUUUUGUACUCUGCUGGAUCCACAACUUGUUAUGUUUCUUUUUGUUCUUAGUUUAAAGGACCGUUGCCUGGCAACAGUUGAGGUGCAACUUUGUUUUUGGUACUUUAGAUGCAGAAUAUUUGCUUUCAGAGCUAUGAAUAUUAUUGUUAGGUCUUCCCUGGAUUUGUUGCUGAACAAUAAUUCUCUUGUGAACCUAUGCAAGGAAUUUAAUGAACAAUUUCACCUUUGAGGAUAUGCUUGUUGAAUAUAUUUUGGCACAUAGAUUUACUUUUGCAAUUAGAGGUGAAAUAAACCACAAAUGAGUGAUAACUGUAAAGUGUCUUUGGUAACUUAAGAGUAUCACUAAUGUAGCAAGCGCAUGUUGACAGAAGUUUGAAUAAUUACUGUAUUGGGUACCUCCCUAGGGGAAGCUUAUAUUGCAUUUUAGAGUUCAAAGUUGAAGGAAAAUUGUAAGUACUCGGCAGUAGUACUAAUAGAGCCCGUUCAGUCCUCGUUUCCAGGCUUAACAAUAUUAAUCAAUGGACCGAAAAAUUGAGGACCAACAUUAUGCAUGUUGAAAAUUCGUUUGAGUGAGUUAGUAUACUUCCAGAAAAGCCCUAGAGAAACACUUUGUCACGCCUCCAUAUUAGCAUACCCUAAACAUAAGUUGCUUAGAUCUCAUGUAUGGUACUGUACAAUAUCCAUUUAUUUAACAAAUUUGUUCUUCUAAUGAGGGGACCGCACUCUAUAAUUAUUUCCCAUCGCCACCAAAACAACUCACUUGUAUGUGUGCGGCGUCAAAUAAAUAUCUUCUAUGAAUAGGAUAAAUAAAAAUACUCCAUGAGUUACUUCAAGUCCAUGGUGAAAAGUAAGGACCAAAGCAACAAAAAAAAAAAAAAAAAGUGAAGAAAAGAAUCACAAGGAAAUCAGGAACGCGAGACAGGUCGGUCAGCUUGGAAUGUAGGAAUUAAAAGUCGGGAACCUCUAGCAUCGCCCCCUCGACAAAAGCAAAAGUUCAUACACUAUACUCGAGCUAGAAGACCGCGAUUCCGCACAUACGCCAUCAAAACAACUCUCAACUCCAAUGUUGCAUAAAACUGGACCAGCCAGCUCCCCCACAACUUAUAAGCAAAAACGCAAUUAACUCUCACCUCGUCCAAAAUACUAAUUCCAGCUCAACCCCCCGUAUUAAAUAAAUAAUCAGAUGAACAAACAGUCCCAAAAUCAAAAUGACAGAAACAAGGAAUUUCAGAAGAAGAAAUAGAAGAGCCCACACACCUCUAGGCUCGAUGGUAACAGAGACAGCAUCAGCCAAUUCAUCAAUCCCAGAUUGAAGAGCCUCUCUGCAUUCCUUGCCGAAAGAUACCCUCUUUGGACCCGCCCUCACCACAAAGUUCCCAACUUUCUGCCCGUUCCUCCGUAGACCCAACACCCUCCUGCUUCCACUCAGAUUCUGGACAGGGAACAGCGCCCAAAUUCUUCAAUCUCGAUCCGAAGAAGUAUAAUUCGUAAAAGGACAUGAAGGAAUCGAGGGAAAAAAGAAGAAAGUCAAAAGAGGAACUCACCCGAAAGAGCAGAUUCGGAGGGAGGAUUGAAGGUGCCGUGAAGGAGGAGGCGGACAUUCUCAGGGGCGGUUCCUUCCUGGGUUUUUCGAGGGGUUUAAGGCUUUAACGUUGGGAGCCGCUAAUUCCCACCCUUCCGUUAGCUUAUUCACGCCCUUAAUAAAGAUUAAAAUGGCAAAAAUAGCCCUAGGUGAUUCCGAUAAGCUGCGAGGCGGGCGAAGAAGCGCCGGCCGCAACGAUAAGGAGGCGCGCUUCGAAAGGAGGCGCGCUUCGAGGACCGGCGGCGAGGAGAGAAGGGAGAGAGGGGCGGAGACAGGAUGGAUGGAGUUUUACGGAAAAAAAAAUUGUAGGAUGAUUACAAGGUAAGUGAAAGUCUGGCAAAUAAUGAUAAAUAUUUAUAUUCAUAUAACCAACAUCAUUUAGUGUGAAAAGAUUUUGUUUGUUGUUGUAGGUAUUUUAAACCUGCAAAUUAGCACGUGCAUGGAUUCUAGCCAGCACAAAACAAAGGAAAUGUGGAUGGAUCGCCCUGAAACAUGCUGGCUGCAAUCGAUUGCCCCGAAGUGGUCUAGCCCGUGAUGGGCUGUCCCUGGUUAGGCUGGGCCUAGACUUUUGGCUCCUGGUCCAUGAUAUGUUCUUGUUACACAGUUGACUCCUCUGGACUUCUUCCUUUAGAAGUCAAUGAUUGCUCCUUAGCCAUGAUAUCAAUAAGGAAGAAAAUGGUAAGAAAAUUGUUUUUUUUUUUUGGAAGUGUUUAGAUACUGAUUCCUACCGGAGUGCUAACUUUGUUUUGCAGGUUUAGUGUUCCCACAACAACGAAGGUAAAAAAAAAUAAAAAUGGAGGGCAAUCAAAAGGUGCGGAAGCCAAAUAAAAAAAAAUGCUCACUCUAAUAUCAUAUCACAAGUUGAGAUGGAAGUGAGAAAAGAGUCGUGAACGAAAGUGAAUGAUGAUUAUAUUUCUUUAAUCUAUGAGGAUCAGAUCUAAUCCUAAGUUGAUUCAACUAAUCAAUUACAAUCAAAAUAAAUCUUCAGCAUCUCUUGAAAAUAUUCUCCCGAAUCAACAUGAUAUCUUCCAAUAGAGUAGAGCCUAACUCAAUUUUUUAAUUUUCCAAAUCGACCCUCAAUCCCGAAAAUCUUAUUUUUGAAUAUCAAAUUCCCCUCCGACAAAAUAAAUAAAUAAAUAAAUAUCAAAUUCCCUAAAUUCCACUGGACCCCUUCCUUUAAAUUAAAUCCUAGUCGCCGCUCACUUCCAUCUCGCGGCCUCAUGUUCUUCUCCUUUCUUUGGAAGUUUGGGACCCUAGCCCUGGACGCCACAGAGUCUCCUUCAAUUCGCUCCGAGCUCUUCGAUUCCCUCAACCGACUUGGGAAUCUGGGUGUUCACGGAUUAGAUCACACCCUCGAGCUUGUCGGAUCGGAGCGACAAGAACGCCACUGUGAUUACGACUGUCGAUAUUCAUGGGAUGGGUGUUGCUGGGAAAACAUCUUUUUCUCAGCUUGCGUUCGAUGAUGGUGUGGUGAAGCAAAAAUUAAAGCAACAAGCUUCGAGCUCUUUGAUCCGCUAGGUCCUCGACGAGAAAGCAUGGAAGGUAAGCAUACUUCGAUUGAAGAAUACAGAGAAGGGAAGUUACAAAGAAGAAGUACAACAUUUGGACCACUAGCCCCGUUUGCUUGAGCUUCAGAGGCGGAGAUACUUGCACCAACCUACAUCAACGAUGAUUUGCAAUGCUCUUUGUGGCAAUUCAUCAUUUCCGCACGGUAUGCGCACUGUAAAUGGUGAUUGGCGUGCUGGCUGAGAUGAUGGAUUGCCACGGAGAGCAUUGUGAAUUUGUCUUUCCUCUCUCUAUGAAUUUGAGGUGCAGUGCAGGGUGGAAGGCUGUGGCCUUAAGGGAAGAUUAGAAGAUGAUUUCACUUGCCAUCGUUAAUGGGUAUGUAUGUACACAUGUAUGAUAAUGUCCGUAUGUAUUUAUGAAUUUAUGAAUCUGAAUCCGAACUCCUGUGCACUAGGAUGGGAAUGACCUCUAUAUGUCUCUAUGACUUGCGCACCUAACUUUGGAUUUACGCACGCAUGUGCACAGGAACGAAGGAAAUCUGGUGCAACUGGUGGUCGCAAAGGUUUGUAAGUAUUCUCUGUUUUCAUGAUGUCUCCCUUCAAGGAUUUUUCCUGUCCCGUUCUGCAAAAGCAGUGAAAAUAUGAUGGAGGAACAUGUCCUUUUGAGUAGUUUCAGUGAUUUAUGGCGAAAUAGAUGGUUUUAUUUGCCAUUACCUGUUGAGGUAAAUAUAUACAUAAGCAAUGGCCUGUAAUGUCUAGGUUCCUUGCUUUCCUCCGUUCUGGCACCAAACCUACAUCAACGACAUCCGCUUUGAAUGAAAACUGAUUCGCAAUUCUCUCUGUGGCAAUCCACCAUCUCCAUCCGCUCCCGAGUACACCAUGUACUCUCCGCAUAGAUGGGUAUUGCGGUCCUACAAGUCCUGACGGCCCGGAGGCAGGGGCGCUGUGGAUGAAAUUGAAGAAGCCGAUGUGGAGUGUCUUAAGCCUCUGAAAGCAAAGGAUAGUGGGAGAACAAUUGCUAGGGCAGUAGCAAUCGUUUCCUUCUUUAUUCGUUACUUUGAAUCUUGAAGACUCAAGUGGAUUUCCUCAGCGUGUAAACUUCGACUAUGCUGCACAACUUUGUGUCUUUUAUUUCGUCUUCUCGACCAAACGCUUCCUUAUUAGCACGCAAUUUAAAAUAAACGGGGCACAGAAUCAUUGUUGAAUGAUUAUAAGUGGUACAGGAGUCAGCAUGGAGCUGAUCUUUGACUUUUGACUUUUCUCAAUAAUAUUAUACUCACCGGCCAAAACAUUGGUGACCAUCCGAACUUCUUUUCGUGGUACAAUCGGUGACCUAUUUUUAUUAGGCCUGCUCUCGCCAUGUUGAUAGGUUAUAUCAAAACUCUUGUCGACGGAGUAUGACUCCACAUCGUGUAGUGAGUUCCACUACCAACAUCAUUUAGUGUGAAAAGAUUUAGUUUGUGGUUGUAGGUAUUUUAAACCUGCAAAUUAGCAUGUGCAUGGAUUCUAGUCAACAUAAAACAAAGGAAAUGUGGGAAAGAAGAUUUUAGUUUAAGUCAGGAUAUUUUUAAGAAAAUCGAUUUUAGUUUAACUCAAGAUAUUUUUAAGAAAAUCGAUGCAAAUACUUAUUUCCCUUAUCAUGUUUUGAUGUCUCUCCACUCGAGAAAAAGAAUCCAAUCAUACAAAGUGAUUCAAAAGCAUUAUUGAUAAAGUUGAAGAAUGUUGCUAGGGCUCAUUAGUUGUAAGUUGUUUUGAUUGAAUUAGACGAUUUCAAAAAUCAAUCAGUUGUUAUGAAGUUACUGAUGCUAUUAUUUAGACCUUGUGCAAAUUAAUAGUUGCUCUCUGGAAGAGCUCAUGGUACAAAUCUUCAUCGGACAAGAUCACAAGCAUGUGACGCCAUGAAUAAGGGCAUUUUUGUCCAAAAAAGUCCAAACUUAAUUUCCAAGUUUCCCAAAUUAAACCCUAAUCCCAAAACUUAUCCUUUAAUCAUAAAUCCCAUCGCUUACUCUCGUUUAAACUGAGCCCUAGUCACCGCCUCCUUCAACCCAAAAUAUCCACCUCCGUCACCUUUGCUUGGCUUCUUCUCUUCCUCAAGCCUAGCCCUAGACACCUCCAGCUCAUGCUUAGCCCCUCAUUUGAUGCUUCAAGCUCUUCAAUGCAUUUUACCGAUUUAGCAAACUCGGUAUUUAUGGAGCAGAGCACGCACUCAAUCGUUGGAUCAAGGGACGUAGUUUGUACAAUCUGCACUGCCGAUGGUUCAUCAUAUUCAUUGAGACUUUGAACAACCAUCAGAUUGUCAUCGAACUUAACAUUGAUAGAUUCUUUCACUUCUCGUAAAAUUUUGUUAAACAUACAAUAUGCUUUACUAGUAGUAUAAUAAUUAAGAAAAAAAAACCUUCAUUUGAUCUUGAUUUAAACGUACUAACAUUAUCGUUUGUAUUUUUCAUAAAAUAACAUUUACAACCAAAAGUAUGAAAGUAAGAUAUGUUUGAUUUUCUUUCUCUAAAAAGCUUAUAGGGUGUUUGAGAUAGCUAGUAUAAUCACCUAGAGGGGGGGUGAAUAGGUGCACAAACAAAUUUUCGAGAUACGGAAGCGAUUUUAGGCAAUUGAUAGAAAGGAAAAUACGAUCAAAGUAAAGUAAAGGUUAGGGAAGAGAGAAAUGAACACAAGAUUUAUAGUGGUUCGGCUUAUUCCAAGCCUACGUCCACUCUUCCGCACUGACAGCCCACCGGCUGGAUUUCACUAUGAACAAAAGAGAAGUUACAGCACAGCUUUUCCUUGAUUCCACAAUGUAGAUGUUCUACCACACUUCCUCAAGGUUUCUCACGAAUAUAGACUCUCUUUUGUUUACACGAUUAUGCUCAACAAAUGAAUUGACUAGAAACAAGGAACUUCAGACUUUGGAAUUCUUCUAUCGUACACACUCUCGAACAACUAGAAUGUCUUCCUUAUAUACUCCUUCAUGCCAUUAUAACCGUUGGCAAUUACCAAAGGAAUUUCUCCAAUCUACCCGUUGGACGGAAUCAAUUAGGAAGAUCAUUCGAGCUAUUAAAGGAACAUGUCGAUAGCCCAUCAAUCUUGUUCGCCCAUACAAUCAGGAUCUCUAUUUCCAUAAGUAGAACCUUCCAAGUAUACUUCGCCAAUCAUCGGAUCCUUAAUCUUCGAAUCAAUUGUGAUCAAAUAAAGAAUUCCGUUAUGUCAUAUCCAGCCAAGAGAUCUUCUCCAGUCGAUAAGGCCACAUCCUUAAUGAAACAUCCAGUUCUGGAUAGCCUUUCUUCAACGGAUUAGAGACUGUCAAUGAAGAUAGAUUUUGAGUCUUGAGUCUGGCUGUCCGGAGGUCUUCAGACUUUAAGUAGCAGAGUCUGCAAUCCUUCAGACUAGACUGAUGGAAACGUUUUGUCAACUUCAAAACACUUCAAGAGGAAUUUCUCCAACAAUCUCCCCAUUUUUGAUGGUGACAAAACUUUCCUGCAGAUUUGGAAAACUUUGACCCGCAAAACAUUUCUCAAACACAUAUGCAUAUCUUAUAGAUAAAAUGGCUAAAUGGAUAACACUAGAAUCUGCAACCACAGAAAAUAGGUUAGUCCAGUAUGCAAUAAAGCCAUCCAUAAGACAUCAAUAGUAGUUAAUGAUAAGCAGUCAAAUCCAAAUCCCAGAUUUAGUCCACAUCCAGACACAAGUCAAGUCAAAACAAACCACAAACCAAACAAGCCAAAAGUUCAAAUUUAAGUUCAAAGUUUUUCAAGUUGCGACUAAACUCUCCCCCUUUUUGUCAGCAUAAAAAAGAUUGAGAUGAAAAUGAAGUCAAGGAUUCUUGGGAAUACGAACAAGCUGAAAAUCUCCCAUCAACUGAACGAUGCCUUCCAGCCUUUUAAAGUCUUCCUUCAGCUGAGCAACAUCCUCACCCUUAGCAUUAGCCUGAAUCUGAAGAGAAAGGGCUUGGAUUUGAUCAUUUAAUGAACCCAAAGAGACUUGUCCUGCAUUCUGCAAGUUCUGAACUUCACAUCCCAAUGCAUAUAUCUGACAUUGCAUCUCCAAGAGAAUAUCCAUCACUCUGCGAAAGUCUGCUGAAUUUUCGGUCUGCGUACUGGCAUUAGCACGAUCUGAUGGAGUAAAUGCAGACGAUGGUAGAUCAGCAUAAUCACGCAGAUUUGGCGAAGAAACCUCAUGACCUUCCUCAGGAAACUGAGAGGCAAAAACCUCCUCUGGAUCUGCUAGGGAUCGACUGACUCCCUCACUGGUUGCAGGAUUUGAGGUCAUUCCUCUUUUCUCUUGGUCUCCCCCUCUGUCCAUGCCUUCAGGUGGAGAGUGCUCCUCAUGUUCUCCUUCUUCUUGUUCUCUUUGCUCUUCUUCUUCUUUUUCAACUCUCUCUUGCUCAACAUCUCUUUCUUCUUCUUCUUCUUCUCUUUCCUCUGUUUCUUUUUCCUCUGCCUCUUUCUCUGCUCUUUCUCCUGCCUGCUGUUCUGACUCUUUCUCUGGAAUAGAUUGACUGAGAUUCUUCAAAGUAGAAAUAGUGAUGUUAUCCUCAUCAUCUUCAUCCUCAACGAGGAGAGCUCUUCUUCUCUUGGAUGGAGCAUCCAUGGGCUCCUUCCCUUUCCUUUUUCCUGCAGAAGAGAAUUGAUGAAAUUUGACUGGAGUCUUCUCCUUAAAUUUCUCCAAUGCCUUGCUUAGUUCCUUCAGACGCAUCUUGGUCACCAUUUUCAGUCCUACCACCAUAUGAUCGCAUGAUCGAGCACAAAGAAUUUGCGGAGGCUGAAUUUUUAGAUGUCUGAAUAACUUCGUCACAAGACCUGGAUAAGGAAGUUGUCCUCUGUCCUUCAUCACAGCUCUAUACAUAUGGAACAUAACAGUGUGAGGAAGUGAAAACCUUUUCCUAGUGAUGAUGGCAUACAUUAGCUUUGCCUCUGAACUUGAGACAUCAGUCUUGGAAGUUGAUUUCGGUCUGAGGCAAUUAAUUACAAUUUUGUGCAGCAAGAUGUUAAAUGCACUCAUCCUUGAAUAGGAAAUAUUUCCCUCUGUUCUCCUGUCUUAACAAGUUCCAGAGUAGUACGAGCAAUAGAAACUUUGAUCCGUUGAUACCUUCCUCUCUCAACUCCUAACACAUCUGCCAGCAUAUCCAUAUCCACAACAAAGUCUUGAUCUUUGACACUGAAGGAGAAUCUAUUCGCAUGCAAGAAACUAAGAUUUGAAUAGAAAUAUGCAGAUAGUUGAGGAUAGGCCUCUGUGGAGUCAGAGCAGAAUUUCUCAAGUUGAAGAUGGCCAAACUUUUCCCUUAAGUUCACAUUUACAACAUCCAGAAAGUCAAAAUCCACACUCCUAGGGUUUAUCACCCCACGCUUCAGCAAUUUUGAGUAUAGAUCCAUCUGUUCCUUCGAUCUAAACAACUCUCCCCUUUUUCCUCGAUUUUCCGCCGCAAUUCCCAUUCUUGGCUGAAAUUCGCUAUAUAAUUUGUCAUCAUCAUUUCCAUCCACCAGAUUAACUCCCCAAUCACGAGGGUCACUUGGGAUAUUCGCAAGGGAUUCUUCUACCACACCCUUACGAGCAAUUGCCAAACUUUCCAUUUUUGGAAAAAAGAUAUAUUCAUUUUCAUAUCCUUUGUCCUUAAGAAAAUCAUCCACAUAGUUCAACAGAGUACCAGUCCCUUUUAAAGCACGAUACAGCUUAUAAAUAAAAGAGGGCCUUUGAACUCUUAUAGGGUCUGCAUCUUCAAUGAUUUCUUCAUUUUGAUGAUGAUCAACAUCUUGAGGACUAGAUGGAGGAGAAUGACGCUGCUGAGAAAGUUGUGGGCUCUGCUGCUUAUUUGGUGACACUUCUUCUUCAGUGAGAUCGAAGUGCGUAGGCCCCUCAUUCAUUCGCCGUGGUCCCCUGCUUGCGAUCCUCGAAGACUUUCUUGAAGACGACAUCUUUCUUAGUCUUUGAAAGAUUCCUUGCUUGACUUUCCCAAGAAAGAUGACAACUUUUUCGAAGAUUAAACAAGAGAAGAAAACAUGAAUGGAAGAUUGGUGCUUUUUAGGGUUUUGGAGUUAAGCGAGGAGAAACCGAUUAUAUAUAAGACAGUCGUAAGGAGGGGAUACCAACCGUCGUAAUGGUAAGUGAAAAGAUGCCUUUUUAAAAAAUAACUGCCUUUUUCGAAAAAUAGUCACAUCAAAAUAACUUCUUUUUCUAAAGGAAACGAUGCAAUAAUUUCGUCAAUUAAAGAUAGCGAUUGAGAUAACAAUAAUCAACACGGUUGAUCAACAUACCUUUUCAAAAUGAGAUUAGAGAGAGAAUAACUUACAGUCAAAGUCUUGCAGUCAAAGUCUUAUAGUCUGAGUCUGAGAGUCUCUAGACUUUAACUUCUUCAAACUUCAAAAUGUUGAGUCUUGAACGGAUAAUUUCAAAUUGAUUUUUCUCCAAAGGCUUUGUAAAUAUAUCCGCCAGUUGGUUCUUUGAGUCAACAAACUGAAUCAAAAUUUCUCCAUUUUGAACAUGAUCUCUAAUGAAGCGAUGUCGAAUCUCUAUAUGCUUUGCUCUUGAGUGAAGAAUUGGAUUUUUGGUGAGAUUGAUUGCGCUGGUGUUGUCACAUUUAAUCUUCGUGCAUGAAUCUUCAAUUCCGAAGUCUCUUAGCUGUUGUUUUAUCCACAGAAUUUGUAAACAGCAACUUCCAAGAGCUACAUAUUCUGCUUCUGCUGUAUAGAGAGCUACUUUACUUUGCUUUCUUGAAAACCAAGACACUGUUCUGCCUCCAAGUAGUUGACAGGUACCUGAGGUGCUCUUUCUAUCAACUUUGCAUCCAGCUAAGUCUGCGUCUGAGUAUCCAAGAAGAGUAAAGUCUCCCCUUUUAGGAUACUAGAGACCGAAGCUUGAAGUUGAUGCAAUAUAUUUGAUAAUACGCUUUGCAGCAUUUAAAUGUGAUUCUUUAGGGUCUGCUUGAAAUCUGGCAUAAAUGCAAACACUAAACAAAAUAUCAAGUUUAGAAGCAGUAAGAUAAAGAAGUGAACCAAUGAUACUCAUGUAUAACUUUUGGUCGACUUUCUUUCCUCCUUCAUCUUUAUAUAUCUUCACGGAGCUUGACAUUGGUAUAUUAGCCUUUUUGCAAUUGUCCAGUCCAAACUUCUUCACAAUAUCAUUAGCAUAUUUUUCUUGAUAAAUAAAAGUUCAUUCCUUCAAUUGUUUUACUUGAAGUCCAAGAAAGAAGGUUAACUCACCCAUCAUGCUCAUUUCAAAUUCAUCCUGCAUAGUUUUAGAGAAUUUCUUGCACAGACUUUCAUUAGAGGAUCCAAAAAUAAUAUCAUCGACAUAUAUUUGAACAAGUAGAAAACUCUUGCUUUCUCUUUUAAUGAAAAGAGUAGUGUCUACUUUACCUUUAACAAAUCCAUUUUCAAUUAAAAACUUACUCAGUAUGUCGUACCAAGCUCGAGGAGCUUGUUUCAAGCCAUAUAAAGCCUUUUUGAGUCUGAAUACUGAGUCUAGUUUCUUCGGGUCUUCAAACUCAGGUGGUUGUUCCACAUAGACUUCCUCUUAGAUGAAUCCAUUUAGGAAGGCACUUUUGACAUCCAUUUGGAAUAACCUGAAAUUCUUAUUACAAGCAAAAGCAAGUAAUAAUUGAAUUGCUUCUAACCUUGUUACUGGUGCGUAAGUCUCGUCAUAGUCUAUCCCUUCUUCUUGUGUAUAUCCCUUGGCCACGAGUCUUGCCUUGUUUCUUAUGACUUUUCCUUUCUCGUUCAUCUUGUUCCUGAAAACCCAUUUAGCUCCAAUAAUAGACUUACCUUUCGGUUUAGGAGUUAAUUCCCAGACAUCAUUAAUACUGAAUUGCCUUAGCUCUUCUUGCAUAGCUUCAAUCCAGCUUUCAUCAGAUAAAGCUUCUUCUAUACUUUUGGGUUCUAUUUCAGAAAUAAGAGCCACAGCACUAGACUCUUCGCGCCUUUUGGAUCUUGUGCGAAUUCCUUCAUUGAUGUCUCCAAUAAUAAGAUCUUUGGGAUGACUGGACUUAUGUUUCCAGUUGCUGGUUAAUUUGUCAGAUUGAUGGUCACUUCCUUCACUUGAAUCUUCAACAGUCAAUUGUUGCUGGUCCUUCAAAGUCUGAGCUAUUUUAGACUUUGUAGAGUCUGGAGCAGGUUCAGAUUCUUCAAGAUGAGUCUGAAUGGAUUUAUUUUGCAUAGAAUCUUGGAAUUUAACAUUCAUUGAUUCUUCCACUGUUUGAGUCUUCUUGUUGUAGACUCUAUACGCUUUGCUUGUGGUUGAAUAUCCAGGGAAGAUGCUUUCAUCUGAUUUUUCUUCAAACUUUCCAACUCGAUCAUUUGCAUUUUUUAGUAUAAAACAUUUGCAUCCAAAUACAUGAAAAUAUGAAACAAUAGGCUUCUUUUCUUUGAAUAGUUCAUAGGGGGUUUUUUCUAGAAUAGGUCUUAGAAAGACUCUAUUUAUAAUGUAACAUGUUGUAGAAAUUGCUUCAGCCCAGAAACGUGAAGAGAUGUUACUUUCAAUUAAAAGAGUUCUAGCCAUUUCUUGAAGAGAUCUAUUCUUUCUUUCCACAACUCCAUUUUGCUCUGGAGUAUAUGGAGAGGAGAAUACAUGCUGAAAACCAGAUUCAUCACAGAAUUUUGUAAAAUCAUGAUUUUCAAACUCACCUCUAUGAUCUGUUCUUAUACUCGAUAUAACAUAUCCUUUUUCAUUUUGAACCUUUUUAGCAAACUUUUCAAAGUAAGAGAAGGUUUCAGACUUACUUGCCAAGAAAUAUACCCAAGUGAAUCGUGAGUAAUCAUCCACAAUUACCAGGUAGUAUUUCUUACCUCCAAUGCUUUGCGUUCUAGUUGGUCCAAAAAGAUCCAUAUGCAAAAGCUGCAGUACACGGUUAGUGGAAACUUGAUUUAUUGGUUUAAAGGAAUUUCUUACCUGUUUUCCCAAUAUACAUGGUGUACAUAGAUCAGACUUUUGAUAUGAUAAAUUGGGUAGACCACGAACAAGCUUCUUUGCUGAGAUUUUGGCUAUUUGCUUCAUAUUGACGUGCCCAAGCUUUCUGUGCCAUAAGAUUGCUUCGUCUUGGAUUGAGAUUAGACAUUGUGAUUCAUCUGGUUUCACAUCCAAGAGGUAGAUAUUUCCAUGUCUUCGACCCAUGAAUAACUGAGUAGAAUCUUUACUAAUUCCAGAACAUAUUUCCUCUUGAAAGUUGAUUUUGAAACCAGCAUCACAUAGCUGACUAAUACUGAGCAAAUUGUAAUUGAGCCAUUCCACUAAGGAAACAUUGCUGAUUUUGAGAUUUCUAAUCUUUACAGUUCCAAAUCCCACAAUUUUUCCUUUGUUGUUUCCUCCAAAAGAAACUUUUCCACCAUUUACUCGAACAAGCUUUAUGAAGUAAUUUGAGUCUCCUGUCAUGUGUCUUGAGCAUCCACUAUCAAGAUACCAUUUUACCUUUUUCUUGAUAGUGACCUGCAUUUAAAAAAGAAACUCAAGCCUUCUUUGGUACCCAUAUUUUUUUGGGUCCAUUGGUGUUAGUAUGAUAUGCGGUUUUUGCCCAUACCUUUUUAACAGGUUUCCAAAUCAUAGAACAUUCUUUUUCAAAAUGAUCUGCACUAUUGCACUUUGAGCAUCUGAGAGCAUUGCGACCUACUGGUUUUACAAAGAUUCUUUUAAAAUGAUUUUUGUAAGCAUCUCUUGUGGGUCUUUGUUUGAUUCUUUCUUUCACCUUAGGAAAAUCAAUUAAAGGAAUGGUUUCAUCAGUCAUUCCCAAACCAGAUUUAUUAAAAUAAGGUCUUUGAACAGAAAGAAUUUUUUCUAGUUUCUCAGAUCCUAUAGAAAAUCUUUUGGAAAUAUUUGAGAUAUCUCUUUUCAAGAAUGCAUUUUCUUUUAACAAAUUAUCUUCACUUUCUUUAAGAGAAGAAACAUUCUUGUCUAAACUUUUCACUUUUUCUUUCAAAAUAUUUUCCUGUUGUUUUAGAGCAGAAUUUUCUUUCUUGAGUUCGGAAAUUCUUUUAAGAGAAGUCUUAAGACUGAAACACAAUUCAUCAAUAUACUUUGAAACCUUAAUAGGGAUUUUGAAGUUACUUACUUCAAAUUCGCUUUCUAAGUCUGAAUCUGUCUCGGAAUUUGAAUCUGAAUCCGAUUGUGCCAUCAAACAUAUAUUGGCAUAAUCAUCAUCACUUUCUUCACACUCUGUAUCACUCCAGGUUUCAGCUUUAAGAGAUUUUCGAUACUUUUCAGUCUUUCCUUUCUUCUUCCUCAGAAGAGGACAGUUGGGUCUGAUGUGUCCCUUUUUUCUUACAUUCAAAGCAGACUACAUCUUUGUUUGAUUCAUCAUCCUCAACAGACUUAGUCUGUUGCUUUUGAAAGCUUUGUUUCUUUGGAUUGAAUCUUCUUCCUUUUCUGUUCAGCUUUCUGAAUCUUCUUAUCAUGAGAGCAAGUUCCUCAUCAUCCAUAUCGUCUUCAGAAUCUGUAGCAUCAGAAUCAUCAUUAGAUUUUAACGCAAUGGAUUUCUUACCUUUAGGGUCUUCGUCUUCAUUGAUUCGUUCCACUUCAUAAGACUGAAGAGUCCCAACCAACUCAUCAACAAAUAGAGGCAUGAUUCUUUGGGUCUCUCUGAUUGAGGUCUUUAUGUGAUUCCAAUCCUUGGAGAGUCCACGCAGUAGCUUGUUUACUUUCAUGGGAUCAGAAAUUGGUUGACCUUGAUUUUCAAGACCGUUCACAAUAUCUAUAAAACGACUAAACAUAUCAGUUAUAGAUUCUCCUGGUUUCAUUUUGAAGGCUUCAUAUUGGCUAAGGAGAAUGUUGAUUCUAGUCCCUUUCACUCGAUCGGUUCCUUCAUAAGUAAUAUGUAAUCUAUUCCAGACUUCUUUAGCUGUAACACAAGAAGAUAUUCUGUUAUAUUCAGUAGGGGAUAAAGCACAAUAUAAGGAAUAAAUUGCUUUUGCAUCAAGAGCUUGUCUCUUGAUUUUCUCUUCCUGAGUCAUUUCGCUAGACUCAACAACAUCUUUUCCUCUUUCUGAGACAGAUGCAGCUUUAGGAAUGAUUCAUUUUUCUACAACGUCCCAUUCCAGAGGAUCCUUUGAUCUUAGGAAUGCUUUCAUCUUGUUCUUCCAUAUGUUGUAAUCCUUUCCAUCAAAGUAAGGUGGUCUGGUAUUGCUUUGCCCUUCUACCAGCCCUGGAGCCAACAUACUAUCCAUGGAUCUUUAACUCUGAAGUAAAACACUUCAACAAAAGUGAGUACACAGGCUCUGAUACCAAUUGAGAUAGCUAGUAUAAUCACCUAGAGAGGGGUGAAUAGGUGCACAAACAAAUUUUUGAGAUACGGAAGCGAUUUUAGGCAAUCGAUAGAAAGGAAAAUACGAUCAAAGUAAAGUAAAGGUUAGGGAAGAGAGAAAUGAACACAAGAUUUAUAGUGGUUCGGCUUAUUCCAAGCCUACGUCCACUCUUCCGCAUUGACAGCCCACCGGCUGGAUUUCACUAUGAACAAAAGAGAAGUUACAGCACAGCUUUUUCUUGAUUCCACAGUGUAGAUGUUCUACCACACUUCCUCAAGGUUUCUCGCGAAUAUAGACUCUCUUUUGUUUACACGAUUAUGCUCAACAAAUGAAUUGACUAGAAACAAGGAGCUUCAGACGUUGGAAUUCUUCUAUCGUACACACUCUCGAACAACUAGAACAUCUUCCUUAUAUACUCCUUCAUGCCAUCAUACCCGUUGGCAAUUACCAAAGGAAUUCCUCCAAUCUACCCGUUGGACGGAAUCAAUUAGGAAGAUCAUUCGAGUUAUUAAAGGAACAUGUCGAUAGCCCAUCAAUCAUGUUCGCCCAUACAAUCAGGAUCUCGGUUUCUAUAAGUAGAACCUUCCAAGUAUACUUCGCCAAUCAUCGGAUCCUUAAUCUUCGAAUCAAUUGUGAUCAAAUAAAGAAUUAUGUUAUGUCAUAUCCAACCAAGAGAUCUUCUCCAGUUGAUAAGGCCGCAUCCUUAAUGAAACAUCCAGUUCUGGAUAGCCUUUCUUCAACGGAUUAGAGACUGUCAAUGAGGAUAGACUUUGAGUCUUGAGUUUGGCUGUCCGGAGGUCUUCAGACUUUAAGUAGCAGAGUCUGCAAUCCUUCAGACUAGACUGAUGGAAACGUUUUGUCAAUUUCAAAACACUUCAAGAGGAAUUUCUCCAACAAUGUUUUAUCAAACAAUGAAUGCAAAAACACUCUAUUGAUGAUAUAACAUAAUGUUGCAAUUGCUUCAACCCAAGAGUGAGCACGGAUGCUACUUGCAAUCAUCAUUGUUCUUGCCAUGUCCUGUAACUCUCUUAUGACUACACCAUUCUAUUGUGGGGUGUAUGGAAUUGAGAAAUUGUACUCAAUUUCAUUCCCCUCGCAAUAAUCAACAAAGUUCUUGUUUUCAAACUCUCCACCAUGAUCAAUCCCAAUGCAUACAAUACUAUAAUCUUUCUCGUUUUGAAUCUUUGAUGCAAUUAUUACGAAGGAUUUGCAUUCUUCAUCCUUUUAAGCCAAGAACAUUAUUGUCAUGACCUAACCCCUCUCACGGGAGAGAGAUUGUUAGAUUUAGGGAUAUUGUUAACUUCAGGCCAAUGGCCUUCCCUUGACUCAAGCUCUUCUAAGUGCAUACCUUGCGCAACAUCGAGUGUUCAGAUUUGUAAUCAAUUAAGUCUAUGUAAAUUUUAACUAAGGAGUCGAAACUAAACUUUUUGGGAUUAACUAAAAUCCCAAUAAGAUACAGGAGGAUAUCUUACUAUUUACGUAAUAUAAGAUUUUGGACUUGAGGAAUUGCUAACUAAUGCCAUAGCAAUCUACCAAGAAUAUUUCAAAAUUUGUCAUAACCAUUCUAAAAUAAGGAAGUAAUAUCGAAAUAUUGAAAAGCGCAAUCAAUUAUAAUCAUAAUAGAAAGUAUGCAAGCAUUGUAAAAUUGUCCAUAACAAAGAAAAUAAAACAAAAGCAAAAGAAGAAUCCAUAUUUAAAAACCUUAAAGGCUUGUCCAAAUUUUGGGCCUUAACAUUUUUAAAAGGUUUUCCAAUUUUUCUAAAAUUUUCUAUUUGUGAUUUUUUUUGUUUUUAAAAAUUUUCGAAUUUUUAAUGAUUUUUAUAAUAAUUUUUGGUAUGGGUUUUGUGAUAUUUUUAGUGAUUUUCUGAAAUUUCUAAAAUUUCUAGUGAUUUUCCAGAUUUUCCAGAUUUUUAUGGGUUUUCUAUUUUUUCAAAAUUUUUAAUGUUUUUUGGAGUUUUCUAAUUUUUUAAUGAUUUUCUUAAGUUUCUAACUUUUCAUUCAUUUACGAAUUUAUAAAUUUUUUUAUUAUUUCCCAAGAUUUUUUAUCAUUUCCUGAAUUUUUAAUUUUUUAAAUAUUUUUCCGAAUUUUUAAUUAAUUUAUUAUUAUUAUAUUCGUGGAACGGGUUCUGACCGUUUACCCGAUCCGACUUGCUGACCCGACACAAAUCCGGAUCCGACCCAGUAGGAUUAAAAAACGAAAAUUUUCUAAUUUUUUAUUUUUAUUUUCUAAUUUUUCUUUCUUUUUUCUCUUUUGUCUUUUUCCUAUUUUGUCCUAUUCACUGCACCUUCUCCUUCCUUCAGCCACCUUCAGCAUCCGAAGCUUCUCCACCUGCAAUUUAUUUUUCCAGAACCAAGAAUACUCCACGGCGCCGCCAUCCAAUCUCACGUGUCGUCAAUGGCGCCCACUUCGCCGGAGCACAAAGGUUUACCUGGUACGGGAAACGGGUGUUCAUCACCGAACGAUCGCCGGCGGAGCUUCGACUGACGGUGAGCAGCUUCCCUUUUCGUCUAGGGAUUUCGCCUAAUGGCCGAAUGCUCAACACUCAGCCGUGAACAGCAUGGUGGCCGGCGGUCGCGCAAAGGCUCUCCUCCAAUGGCUGAACUACCUUCUGCUCUGUUUUCUUUCGAUCGAGCCCCUCUCCAAGGGCUGAACUCUUUGCGUCCUCUCUCUGAGGUCCAGCCAGUUCAGCCUUCUUUGUGCCCCAGCUUUUCUCACGUCACUCUUGUGGUUUUUUCCUCACAGAUGCCGGUUCGUGCAAACGAGGGGAAGAAGUUAACCUUGGGCCGGGCCCCUUUUAGGCUUUUAUGGGCUCAAACAAAAGAAAUAAAGAUGGGCUGAAAACAAAAGAAAUGAAGAUGGACCUGAAAAGAAAGAAACGAAGAUGGGAGGGACGAACGGGGUUUAGAGGGCUGAAAGUCGCUAGGUGGGCCGGACACACCGGCCCACACAACUUCAUCAUUUUUUUUAUCAUUUUCAUUUUUUAUAUUUUUUUAUCUUUUAUAUGUUUUUAGCUUUUUACCUUUUUUUAAAAUGGAUAUUUUAAAAACAUUGACAAAAAUUCAGAUGUCAAUAGCUACUCAAGUGAAUCUGGAAUAAUCAUCAACAAUCACUAGGUAAUACUUGUUUCUACCAAGGCUAGUAUUUCUUAUAGGUCCGAAAAGGGCCAUAUGAAGUAGUUACAAUACUCAAUUAGUAGAAAUCGUAUUUAUAGAUUCAAAAGAACUUGUGACUUGCUUAUCUAAUAAACAUGCAUUAUAGGCUUCAUUUUUCUCAUACCUCAUUCUUGGAAGACCUCUUACCAUUUCCUUUUGAAGCUAGUUUAAAGUUUUCCUUUAGGCUAAUGUGAGCAAGUUUUCUAUUUCACAUCUCUUUCCUUUAGGCUAAUGCUAGCUAUCUAACAAAUCAAUGAGUGCUUUCGCUAUGAACUUUCAAUGGAUAGAUAUUUCCAUACCUUUUUCUUGAGGAAGUUUUUGAUGGGUAUUUGCCUUUACCUAUGCAAAUACCAUCUUUGAAGUUGAUCUCGUAUCCUUUAUCACAAAGCUGAUUGAUGCUUAUUAAAUUGUGUCUCAAUCCUUUAACCAAGGCAAUGCCGUCAAUGAUUAGUUCUCCCACUUUGAUGGUGUCUCUACUAAUUAUUCUUCCUUUGUCUUUUCCUCCAAAAACAACAUAUACACCAUUAACUUGUGUUAAAUGUAGAAAGGUAUUGGUAUCUCCAAUCAUGUGUUGCGAGCAUUUGCUGUUCAAAUAUCUUUUGAUUGACUUCUUUCCCUACAUUAAAAAGUUGGUUUUUUCUUUUGUGGUACCCACACAAACUUGGGUCCAUCACUAGUAGUGUAUCCAAACUUCUAGUUCACCUUCUUUGACUUUGCUUUUUGGUUUGGACACUCAUGAUUUGAAUGACCAUCACCAUUGUAGCUGGAAUAGUUAUGGACAUUUUACUAAUUGGUUUAAUAAAAUGUUUUUCAAAGUUAUCUUUGUAAACAGGGAUGGGAAUACGAGUUUUCUUUGAAGUUCUUUCUUUAGUUUUUGGAAAUGGAUUGCUUUCUUCUUCAUUUCCCUCAUGCCCUAAAUCGGAUUUGUUGUAAUAAGGGAUUUGAAUUGAAAGUAUGUGCUCAAGUAUUUUUGAACCAAGAGAAAACUUUGAGCAAUCAAGUGAGAUCUCUUUCUCUAGAGAGUCGGCUUCAUCUUCAGCAAGUUUGCGUUGCACAAUACAUGUAUUGAGUUCCUUGCCUAAGUCAUUAAGUACAACUUUGUGAGAAAUGUUUUUAAUAGUGAGUUUUGCUCCAUCCCUUUUUAAAUCAGAAAUCUUUUUGGAAGCCUUUUUGUAUUCCUCAAAAACUUCUUUUAAAAAUUCUUGCAUUUCUUUACAAGUAAGGUCAUAAUUUUCUACCUUGAUUUCUUCAUCGCUUUUAGUUAGCCAUAAGGCAUAUGUUGGCAUGACCGAGAUCUUCAUUGUUGCUUUUGCACUCGAUAUCACUCCAUGUUUUAGCUUUGAGAGCACGCUUCUUCUUUUUGAACUUUCCUCUCUUCUUCUUUUGAAGUGGACAAUCUGAUGGAGUUGUGGAGUCUGAUAGAGGAAAAUAAUGUUAAGCGCAAAAAAAAAUUAUUUUAGGCAUGCACUUCCUAGUAGGUCACCCAUCUUAUAAUGUUAAAGCAAGCAAUAGGGAUUUUAUUGUUGCUAAUGACAUAUAUGCAAUUUCUAUAUUAAUUAUGUAUGCCCUAGACUCCUGCUAUAUAUAGGGCAGUGUCUUUUAUAGUUGUAACGCUGAAGCUUGUAAACCUAGGACUUGUAACACUGAUACUGAUAGUGAAAGAUUACCUAGUGUGGCACCAUAGUUUUUUCCAUUUUCCUGAUUUUGGGAAGGAUUUUCCACGUAAAAAAUUCUCGCUUAUUUUCUUCUUUAUUUUUUCUCUUUAUAUAUUCACGUUCCUAAUAAUUGGUAUCGGAGCCUGGUUUUGGCAAAAUAGUGCAAGCGAAUAUGGACGAAGGGAAUGUGAAGAUCGAUCUUUUGAUAGCAAGGACUUUGGUUUCUGGAAGAUGGGAUAUUCUGUACUAGAAGAACUUGCAUCAGUCUUUGUCUGGAGAGAAACCAGACUCUACGAAUCAAGAAGAGUGGGAAUUGUUAGAUCGACAUGCUUUGGAUUUGAUUUGUCUCACGUUGGCGCAUAACGUUGCUUUCAACAUUGUCAAUGAGGCGACAACGAUGGAUUUGAUGGCGGCGUUGUCCAAUAUGUACGAGAAGCCUUCCACAUCAAGCAAGGUAAAUUUGAUGCGUCGUCUUUUCAAUCUAAAGAUGAACAAAGGUGCUUCCACGAUAGAUCACAUCAAUGAAUUUGACGUGAUCAUGACUCAAUUGAGUUUGGUGGAUAUCAAAUUCGAUAACGAGGUAAAGGUUUUAAUUUUAUUGUCUUCUCUACCUGAAAGUUGGAGUGCAACUAUGAUUGUAGUGAGCAAUUUGUUUGGAAAGAAAAAGUUGAAGCUUCAAGCAAUCUGAGAUUUGAUUUUUUAUUAUUAUUAUUAUUAUUAUUUAUUAUUAUUAUUUUUUUUUGUGCUGGAGGAACUGCUUUGGCCGGCAGCCACCACGUGAACCCCCAGGUGUCGAUAGCAGGGAAACCACCACCCCGGCGACACGCGUAAAUUAUCACAUAGCGCUUCAGCCUCCCUGCUUCGCAGGGGCUUCGAACCUUGGCCUCCACCAGGGAGAACAAAGGAUCUACCCUCUACGCUGCAACGGUCGGUGGUUGAGAUUUGAUUCUUUGUAAGAAUAUUCAUAGAGAAAAUCGGGUGAAUUUUCAGGUGCUGCCUUAAAUACUGAAGGUAGAGGAAGAAGCAAUCAAUAAGGCGGAACUAGUACCGUGGUAGAUCAAAAUCUAGAGGAAGAAGUAAAUCAAGAACUCAUGGAGAAAUAAUUUGCUGGAAUUGUGAAAAGAAAUGCCAUUUGAAACAAGAUUGUAAAGCCCCAAAGAAAAAAUUUCAGUAUCGAGACCGAAAUCAUGAGGAAGAAAAAUCUGUGAAUGCAACUCUUGAAGAGACACAUGAUAGUGAUGCUUUAAUUUUGAGCAUUGACAGUCCAAUUGAGUCUUAGAUUCUUGACUCAGGUGUAUCGUUUCACUCUACUUCGUGCAAAUAAUUAAUGCACAAUUUUAUUGCUGGAAAAUUUGAAAAGAUUUAUCUUGCUGAUGAUGAACCUUUGGAUAUUAUGGGAAAGGGUGAUGUUUAUAUAAAAUCUAGUAAUGAGUAUCAAUGGAAGUUGCAUGAUGUUAGAUAUGUUCCAAGAUUUAAGAGAAAUGUAAUCUCUAUAAAUCAAUUAGAAAGCAUGGGAUAUAGAACUAUUUUUGGGGAUGGCUCUUGGAAAAUAGUUAAGGCACUUUGGUUGUAGCACGGGGAACAAAGUUAGGAACACUCUACAUAACUGAAAGCAAUAGAGAAACCGCAACAUUUGCUAAGUUCGAAGUUGAUUCCAAAUUAUGGCACUACAGGCUUGGACACACGAGCAAAAAGGGGAUGGAAUUAUUAGCAUUUAAGGGAAAACUACCUAAUAUGAAGUCCAUAGAUAUUGGUCUAUGUGAAGAUUGUGUUCAGGGCAAGUAGAAAUGUGUUAGUUUUUCGAAAAUUGGAAGAGAACCAAAGAAAAGAAAAUUAGAGUUGGUGCAUACAAAUGUGUGGGGACCAGCUCUUGUGAAUUCCCUUGGAGGCUUGUGCUAUUAUGUCACAUUCAUUGACGACUCCACCAUAAAGGUAUGGGUUUAUUUUUUGAAAAAUAAAUUGGAUGCAUUUGCUACUUUUAAGAGAUUGGAAAGCUGAAGUGGAGAAUGAAACUAGUCUAAAGAUUAAAUAUCUAAGAUCCGAUAAUGAUGAUGAGUAUGAUAGCAAGGAGUUCAAGCAAAUUUAUUUAGAGAACAUAAUCAUAAUGACAAGAACUGCUCCCAACAAACUACAGCAAAACAGAGUUGCUUAAAGAAUGAAUAUUACUUUGAAUGAGCAUGCAAGAAGUAUGAGGUUGCUUGCAGGAUUACCCAAGAUGUUUUGGGCAAAUGUAAUUAACACAGCAGUAUAUCUGAUUAACAGAGAACCUUUAGUUCCGCUUGCUUUUAAGUUACCAACAUAAGAAUGGAGUGGCAAAAACGUAAAUUUCUUGCAUCUGAAAGUUUUUGGUUAUGUUACGUAUGUCCAUGUAAAUUAUGAAAAUAGAGAAAAGCUUUAUGCAAAAGCUAAACAUGUUUUUCUAUUGGAUAUGGUUCUAAUUAUUUCGGUUAUCAAUUUUGGGAUGAAUAAAAUAAAAAAAAAAUAAAAGAAUUGUUGAUGUUACAUUCAAUGAAAACUUAUUGUAUAAAGACAAAUCUGCACUAUAAUCUAGUGUGAAGAAACAAACAGUGGAGAAUAGAGAGAUUAAACUAGAGGAGGUUCCUGAGAGUAUUUUGGUUGAAAUUUCUGAAAUUGUUGUUGUUGACUCUGAUAAAAAAAACUAGAACAAGAAUUAGGUACACCUGAACCCACUAUGAGAAGAUCUAAUAGAACACCUAAACCUAUACAAAGAUAUUCUCUCGCAUUGUAUUAUUUGCUUUUGACUGAUGUUGGCGAAUUAGAAAAUUUUUCAGAAGCAGUGUAAGUUAAAGAUUCUGUUAAGCGGGAGUUAGCAAUGUAGGGAAGAAUAAUAUAUUGUUCACCCUUUGAAUAGUCCAGAAGACAAAUUCAAAGGAAGAAACAAAUAAGUGCAAUAUACUAAACGUUCUCACUGUAGGAAUCAAAAGAACUUGGAGGGAGAGAGUGCACACACAAAGAGAGAUUAUAUUACACAAUAUGCCUUUAUAAAGGCUUAAGAGAGUACACCCUAACUUUGCUAAGUUUAAAACUCUCUCUAAAACUCACUCUCUCACAACACUCUCACACACAAAGAACUAACGUAACCCUAUAUCUAAAAGUACUUCACCGCAUGGACUUCAAACCUGUAAGAGUUAAAUUUGAACUUUACUUCUUGGCAGUCAAAAAAAACGUGGGCUGCGUAUCUCUUCUUCUUGGAGUCUUCAGCAGCAACUAUAAUAUUUUAUUGUGUGCCCAAGACUUGUACUUUCUUCAUGAUUUUUCUUCUCCGGCGGCUUAAAGAGACGUGGUACUGUAGCACACGUUUCUUUCACGGUUUACAAACCUAAUAACUCUUAUUUACACACACACAGCCAAAAAACAAUUAAAAGACAAAUAAGCUAGUCAAAACACAAAACCAAUUUUACUAUUUUCUAACACUCACGAUGAAGCCUUUGGGAUCUGUGGGUAGACAAAAACUCAGAUCCCAGGCGAGAGCAUUCAAAGAAAGGAAUACUUAGAUCCGAAAAGAGAGAAGAAAAUGAAUAAGAGAAAAGCAUUGUACGGCUUAGCCACUGUUCCACCACUAGUCCCUCUGUCCGUGUACUCCUACAAAGCCCUGCAGAGGAAAAGAUGCGUGUUCCCUCGGAACUACAAUGUGUUCUUGAAUUUCAGAGGCUUAGACACUCGCACUGGCUUUGUCGAUUUCCUCUACAGCAGCCUGGUAGCUGCUGGGGUUCACGUGUUCAGGGACAACGACACACUCCCAGUUGGCGAAGAAAUAGGCCCGGAGCUCCUCUGGGCCAUUAGAAGUUGUAGGAUUGCUAUCCCCAUCAUUUCUGAACAGUAUGCACAAAGUAAAUGGUGCCUUCGUGAGCUCACCGAGAUUAUAGAUUGCCACGAAGAACAUGGCAUAUCAGUCUUCCCUAUAUUCUAUAAGGUGAAUGUCGUUGAUGCAAGACGCGGAUCAGGUAAAUUUGGAGAGGCUCUAAUGAAACAUAAGGAACAGGGCACGGCAGAAGAAGUGCGACGAUGGGAGGAAGCUCUGCUUUCUGUAGCGGGCAUUAGAGGAUGGAUAUCACAGACCGUUGCUAAUGGGUAUGUAUGUAUGUGUGUAUGCAUUUACAAUCUACGAAUUGAACCCCUAUUCACUUAUCCGGAAUCGCAGAGUUUGGGGAAGGAAGGCUGUACGACUAACUUUGGUUAACACACAUAUAUGUGGUGGACAGGCAUGAAGGAGAGCUGGUGAAAAUUGUGGUCGCAAGGGUUUUGAGUGAAUUGAAGACAACGUGGAUCGAACGGCUCCCUCUGUUUCCUAUAUUGAUGUCCAAUCAUCACAUAAGAUCGUGUAAGUAUUCUCUGUGUUCAUCAUGUGAGAGCUUUGGCCUCCCUUAGUUCCACGUAAAGUCAUAAGAUUCGCAUGGUUUAUGACUACCAAGCUCGUGGCUUUUAAAGUUACUUGGUCUUUUAAGAUUUUCAUAUGAUUCGUAUGGGCUGCAUCUCAUCAUCUCCCUUGGUGUGUCUUACUGGAUCAGUGUAUCAUUACUAUUUGAAGGAGAAAAGAAGACUGCGUCAAUGCCAAGUGUUCAUAGCCUUUCGUGGUCGUGAUACUCGAUAUGGCUUUGCUGCAUACCUAUACAUCCGCCUCGUGGCUGCAAAAAUCAGAGUGUUUUAUGAUGAUGAUACAUCCAUCGUAGGUAAAGAGGUUGGUAAGGAGCUUAUAAAUGCCAUCAAGCACUGCAAGAUAUCCAUUCCAAUUGUCUCUCCAAAUUUUGCCUCCUCUGCUUGGUGCCUUAGUGAGCUAAAUUACAUGCUUAGCUGCAAGAAAGAAAAGGGGCAAAAGAUAUUACCCAUCUUCUACAAAGUGAAUCCCUCAGAUGUGCAACAUUUAUCACCUUGUUUUGAAAAACACCUUCAUAGACAUGAGGCGUUUUACGGAAGAGAUAUUUCUGAGUGUUGGAAGCACGCUCUCAAAGAGGUUGGGUCCUUUAAAGGAUGGGAAUCAGAGAAAAUCGCCAAUGGGUACUUACUUUUAUCAUUCACAUGAAAAUCUUAAGUUGGUCCUAUUACUGGAAACUUCUUAUACUACUCAGAGCUCACUUCAAUUUUGUUUGGCAAUUGGCAGGCAUGAAGCGGUACUUGUUAAACGGGUCGUCAAGGAGGUUUCAAGGUUGUUGAAGAAUCCCCAAACGCAAGAUGGUCAUCUCCAUCCACUGAAUAUUGACUCAUUCCUGGUGUAAGUAACAACUCAUUUUUGUCACUUGUGUUUCCUGUUUACAAGAGGAUUUUCCUAGACCAUCAAACAUGUCAUUAUUUAUUGUUUUUCAUUUGCAUUAAUUUUCUAAAGACUGGCCAGAAAUUCCUUUUGGAUUCAGAUGCAACACGGUUAAUGGAUGCCUCAUGUUUGGAUUUACAAGUCUAUUCUGUUAGUAUAUAGGAAGAAGCGUAAAUGAGAGCAGGGAGGCCAAGGGAAUGACGGCGGAGAGAAAAUUGUCCAAACAAUAGAAGGUCCAGUAACCUUAAUUAGUUAUCUGAAGGUGCCAUGAAGGAGUUGCUAUUGAGUGGAAGUAAAAUGUAAUCCCCAAAAUGCAGAUUGCCACCUACUUAAGUCAAGUACAUCUUUCUUACUCAGACUAGUCGAGCUCAUUCUGGCGAAAAACAAGAUGAGAAAACUAAAAUGGAAACAGCUGCAAUUCUUAUUCACCUGACUUGAAAUAUACCACAUUGUGCUGGAUCACUAGAAGAUAAUAUCUCCUAUUUUCGCUUUCUGGUCUUUUUAAAACUAAACUCUGAUCAUGCACGCAUGGGAAAAGGAGCCAUUUGAUUCCGAGCUAAGUUUGUUGAAAGAGGCUUUUCCUUAGGAAUGGAGAAGGCAAUAAUUAGAUCUGUUCAAUGAUUUAGCAUGUCGAUCUCCAUGUCACUUGUUGUAAAAGUCGUACAUAUUUGUUGCCCUCAAUUUCUAUAAUACUUGAUUGUACUUUUUCUUUGGAUAUGCAAAUAGGGUUAUUUUACCACGUAUUAGUUUUCUUAUGGAGAAUAGAACAAGCCACUAGGAAAAAAAGAGUGUUAUUUCUGUCCUUCAUACAAUUUUAGUGAAAACUAAUAUGGUUCCAUCUUCCCAUCCAUUACAAGUGGGUAUGUCGUAAUGUGACAUGGGAGCAAAUUACGAUAGAAUGAGGAGCUACUACUGUUGAACUUGACAAACUCACAUGACUUUAACUAUCUUCAUCUCUACGAAGAAACUUUUAUUGAAGUCACCAAACGGUUCGGGAAGAUGAACUUCAUCUCUUCAAAUAUCAGACACUGCUAGUUUCAAGUUAAUCUUAAUUAUCUUCCCAUUCAGCUAUAAUUGUUUUCAUCAUUGCAUUGGAAACAUCAAAACUAUAUUAGAUUUGAAUUGACUAACCUGGUGAUCUUGAUCCGUAUAAAUUCAGAAACUUUUCUGCAUACAAGUCACGGAAAAUGCUCAUAACUUUCACCUUUUCAGACAUUGAAAAUUUGUUCAAUUCUAACAACUCCAGUAGCUUGCAACCUCUAAAAAUCGAAACUCUACUGGAUUAUAAAAAAAAGAUGACAUCUACAACUUUACCUGUCUAGUUUAUCAUCUCCCAAAUAAUGAUUCUUUUUUUUUUUUUUUUUGCAUUUGGUAUUAGAAACUAGCUAUAUCGUGAAAUUAACCAGUUUAACUUGUCCUUUGCCAAAGUAGAAACAUCAUGAUCACAUAUCUCAUUUCUUGACAGCUCGAAGUUGUAGGUCCUGGAGGAUCAUCAGAUGGGCAUGGUGAUGAAGACCAUCCCCAUUGUUCCAGGCUUCAGUUUUCUGUGCGCUGUGGGUCCACCAAAGGCUAACUUGUUCUGUUUGUUUCUUUUGGUUCCUAGUUUAAAAGAACAUUGCCUGGUAACAGUUGAGUUGGAACUUUGUUUUUGGUGCAUUGGAUGUGGAAUAUUUGCUCUCAGCACGAGGAAUACUAUUGUUAGGUCUUCCUUGGAUUUGUUGCUGAACAGAUGCUAUCCAAGGAAUUUAAUGAACAAUUUGAGCUGUAAGUAUAUGCUUGUUGAAUAUGUUUCCGUGUAAAGAUUUACUCUUGCAAUUAGAGGUAAAAUAAGCAACAAAUGAGUGACAAUUGUAAAAUUUCUUUGGUAGCUUAAGAGUGUUGCAGGUGUAGCAAGCGUACAUUGACAGAAGUUUGAGGAAUUACAGCGUUGGGUACCUCCCUUUUAUGCAGGGGAAGCUUAUAUUGCAUUUUAGAGUUCAAACUUGAAUGAGAAUUGUUAGCACUCGGCAGCAGUCCUGAUAACCAAAUAAAUCAACGGAUCGUUGUCCUCUGGCACUUUUUAGUCCACCGCAACUGCUUUGACUAUAAGCUCUCUGGAAAGGAAGCCAGAUCGACCGUUUUAUUGUUCAAGGGUUAAUUUAUAAAUACACAUUUUCCGGAGUCUUCGUUCGUGCACUGACCGCACGAGGCAGCACCUCACCCGCUCAAUUUUGAAUUUUCUCCUGCAUUUAUUUUUUAUUUUUUCCGUUGGUCAAGUUUUUUGUUAUUUUGAUAUUUCUACCGGUCUCCAACCACCGAACCCUAGGCUUCCUCCGGCACAUAUAUUUUUUUAUUCAUUCCAUGGUGCAUUUGAAUAACCAAAUUUUCAGCAAAAUAAUUCCCACUCCCCCCCCCCCCCCCCACAAAAAAAAAAAAAAACCAAAUGCAACAUGGCGCCGCCCAUGUUAGCAUCGUGACAUUCAUCAUUUUUCUUUUAUUUGGGAUGAGGAUCGAGUCUUUUGACUAAUUGAGUAUGUGCGUUAGGCACUAAACCGACCCCCGCAAAAAAACAUUUGUUUAAAAGUGAAUCGUGCAGUUUAACUGUCCUUUUUUGUACAAGAAGUGACGCGAUAGCAUUGCGUAAGUGUGGCGAGAUUCAUUGAACUUACACAAUUCAAAGGUGUCGUUGUUAUCAUGUUCCCCUUGAUCCUUCAUGCUUUCGCGAGGUAAUCUAACCUUAGUUGGAUUGUUUUGUCUUCAGCUGCAAUAGCACACGAGAAAUAUUUCCUUUUUCCUUUUUCUUUCAUUCUUCAUGCUCGAAUUGUUUGGUGUUGAUUUUGUUUUUGAUUUGUUGGUAACGUCUACCUUCUUUAUUAGGGGUGUCAUUGGCCAAAUCAGGUCCCACCGAUCCCCAAAUGCCAAAAAUUUUCACUAGAAAGUGUUUUCACAACAAGCUAUAGAAGCAAUUUAUAUUGUUGGGUCCAACAAUUUGGACAGUAGGAAAUAGUAAAAAGACCAUCUCAAUUGACUGCUUAUCAUUACUCGAAACGGCUGUGAUAUUACUAUUUGAAGAAGAAAAGAAGACUACGUCAAUGCCAAGUGUUCAUAGCCUUUCGUGGCUGUGAUACUCGGUACGGCUUUGCUGCAUACCUAUACAUCAGCCUUGUGGCUGCAAAAAUCAGAGUAUUUUAUGAUGAUGGUACGUCUCUCGUUGGUAGAGAGAUUAGUGGUGAGCUUUUGAAUGCCAUCGAGGACUGCAAGAUAUCCAUUCCAAUUUUCUCUGAAAAUUUUGUCUCCUCUACUUGGUGCCUCCAUGAGCUAGGUCACAUGCUUAGCUACAAGGCAAGAAAGAGGCAAAGGAUACUGCCCAUCUACAAAGUAAAUCCAUUGGACGUGCGAAAUUUAUCCUCCUUAUUUGAAGACCAUUUUCGUAAACAUGAGGAGCACUUUGGCGGAGAUUUCUGUGAGCAAUGGAAGCACGCUCUCAAGGAGGUUGGGUCCUUUAAAGAAUGGGAAUAGGAGAAAAUCGCCAAUGGGUACUUACUUUCAUCAUUCACAUGAAAAUCUUGUUAUGGUCCUACUACUAGAAAUGUCCUAUACUACUCAGAGCUCACUUCAAUUUUGUUUGGCGAUUGCUAGGCAUGAAGCGAUACAUGUGAAAUAGGUCGUUAAGAAGGUUUUGAGGUUGUUGAAGAAUCCCCAAACACAAGAUGGCUAUCUCCAUCCUUUGAAUAUUGACUCGUUCCUGGUGUAAGUAACAAUUCAUUUUUAUCACUUGUGUUUCCUAUUUUACAAGAGGAUUUUCCGAGACCAUAAAACAUUUCAUCAUUUAUUGUUCAUCAUUUGCAUUAAUUUUCUAAAGACCGGUGAGAAUUUCUUUUGGAUUCAGAUGCAACGCCGUUAAUGGAUGUCUCAUGUUCGGAUUUACAAGUCUAUUCUGUUACAAAUAGAGAGAUUAUAUAAAAAGAAGCGUAAAUGAGAGCAGGGAGACCAAGGGAAUGAAUGGUAGAGAUAAAAUUGUCCAAACAAUAGAAGGUCUGGUAACCUUAAUUUGUUAUGUGAAGGUGCCAUAAAGGAGUUGCUAUUGAGUGGAAGUAAAAUGAGAUCCCUGAAAUGCAGAUUGCCAUCUAAUUAAGUCAAGUACAUCUUCCUUACUCAAAUUAGUCGAGUUCGUCCCGGCAUAAAGCAAGAUGAGAAAACUAAAAUGGAAAGAGUUGCAAUUCGCAUUCCAUAACUUGAAAUACACCACAAUGUGUUGGAUCACCGGAAGAUAAUAUCUCCUGUUUCGCUUUCUUGUCCUUUCAAAACUAAAAUCUGAUGAUGCACGCAUGGGAAAAGAAGCCGUUUGAUUCCUAGCUAAGUUUGUUGAGAGGGGCUUUUCCUUAGGAAUGGAGAAGGCAACAAUUAGAUCUGUUCAAUGAUUUAGCAUGUCGCUUUCUAUGUCACUUGUCGAAAAAAGUUGUAUUGUUGCCCUCAAUUUCUAUAAUAUUUUAUUGUACUUUUUCUUUGGAUAUGCAAAAAGGGUUAUUUUACCAAGCAUUAGUUUUCUUAUGGUGUAGAACAAGCCACUAGGAAAAAGAGAGUACGUUAUUUCUCUCCUUCAUACAAUUUUAGUGGUCAACUAAUCCGGUUACAUCUUCCCAUCCAUUACAAGUAGGAAUGACAUAAUGUGACACAUGAGCAAUUAUGAUAGAAUGAGGAGAUACUACUAUUGAACUUGACAAAUUCGCCUGACUUUAAUGAUCUUCAGCUCAAUGAAGAAACUUCAAUUGAAGUCACCAAACAAUUUGGGAAGAUGAACUUCAUCUCUUUAAAUAUCAUAGCACUACUAGUUUCAAGUCAAUCUUGAUUAUCUUCGCCCAUUCAAUUGAUAGGUGAAUAAUUGUAUUGAUCAUUGCAUUGGAAACAUCAAAACUAUGUUAGAUUAGAAUUGACAAACCCGGUCAUCUUGAUCCGUAUAAAUUCAAAAUGUUUUUUACAUACCAGUCAUAGAUAAUGCUCAUAACUUUCACCUUUUUAGACGUCAAAUUUAUUCAAUUUUGACAACUUUAGUAGCUUGCAACCUCUAAACAUUGAAACUUUAUUAGAUUAUGUAAUCAUAAAUGACAUCUACAACUUUACCUGUCUAGUUUGUCACCUCCCAAAUGUUAAACUUUUGUUGCAUUUGGUAUAAGAAACUAGCUACACUGCAAAAUUAACCAGUUUAACUUGUCCUUUGCCUAAGUAGAAACAUCAUGAUCACAUGGCUCUUUUCUUGAUAGCUCGAAGCUGUAGGUCCUGGAGGACCACCAGAUGGCAUGGUGAUGAAGACCAUCCCCAUUGUUUCAGACUUCAGUUUUCCGUACUCUGCUAGAUUCAUCAAAGACUAACUUGUUUUGUUUGUUUCUUUUUGUUCUUAGUUUAAAAGACCGUUGCCUAGCAACAGUUGAGUUGCAACUUUGUUUUUGGUACUUUGGAUGUGGAAUGUUUUCUCUCACAGCUAUGAAUAUUAUUGUUAGGUCUUCCCUGAAUUUGUUGCUUAACAAUAAUUCUCUGGUAACAAUUUGAGCUGUGAGGAUAUGCUUGUUGAAUAUGUUUCUGUAUAGAGAUUUACUCUUGCAAUUAGAGGUGAAAUAAGCAACAAAUUAGUGACAAUUGUAAAGUGUCUUUGGUAACUUAAGAGUGUCGCUAGGGUAGCGAGGGUAUGUUGAUAGAAGUUUGAGUAAUUACUGCAUUGAGUACCUCCCUCCCUUUUAUGCAGGUGAAGCUCAUAUUGCAUUUUAGAGUUCAAACUUGAAUAAGAAUUGUUAGCACUCGGCAAUAGUCCUGAUAACCAAAUAAAUAAGAGGAUUGUUGUUCUCUGGCACUUUUUAGUCCACCGCAACUGCUUUGACUUAAAGCUCAUUGGAAAGAAAGCCAGAUCGAUCGUUUUACCAUUCAGAGGGCGAAUUUGUAAAUUCAAUUUUCCGCAGUCUUCGUACUAGGUAGAGCACCUCCGCCGCUCUUUCUCUUGCAUUUCUUUUUUUAUUUUUUAUUAUUUUCUCUUGGUCAAUUUUUUAUUAUUAUUUUUACAUUCCUACCAACUCCAACUGCCGAACUCUAGGCUUUCUCUGUCUCUGUCUCUCUCUCUCUCUCUCUCUCUCACACACACACACACACACACACACAUUUUAAAUUCCUUCCAUGGUGCAUUUGAAUAAUCAAAUUUUCAGCAAAAAGCAAAAUGCACAUGGCGCGGCCGACGUUAGAAUUUCGACAUUCAUCAUCUUUUUUUUUUUUUUUUUUGAAAAAAUUUCAAAUAAAGACAUAAAUAAGACUCUUUCCUCAAAAAAUGUUUAAAGUAAGUAUUAUCUCAAAUAAGGGCUUCAAGUGGCCAACUUAGUCUUAAAUAAGAGCGUGAACUUACAAGUUGGCAAAAUCUUACUUAUAGAUAGGGGUAUUUUCAUCCAAGGAUAUUUUUUUUUCUUUCUCUUUUCUCUAUUUCUCUUUGUUUUCUUUUCAUUAUUUUUUUUUCUUUCAUCUUUCUCAAGCCUCCUUCUUCGCUAUAUCUCCACCACCUAUGAGCUUGAAGUUAUUUGCUAUUGAUCGCCUUCUCUGACAACAAAAUCCUCAAUUCCUUAGGACACAUUAGAUCUCAACUCGCUCAUGCUUAAUUUAGGGCUCAUAUCAACCUCCAUUUGACAACGAAGGUUCUGGAAUUUUUGUGGAGGGUGGUGGCAAACAAGGUCGAGGGCUUGAAUAGGACUUGUCAAUGGUGGCAAUGUGACCAUUGGAGAGAAAGGUGUAACCAAAUGGGUAGGAGUUCCAUGUGUUGGCAACUGAAUCCAACGGUUAACAAUGUGAAUUUGGUUGAUGAUCAAUCUAAGGAUGGGAUAUCAGUGGAGGAGAAGCUAAACAGUGUUGAUGAGAAUGGCAAAGAGUUCGGGUGGGUGUCUUUGGACUAGGGAUUACUACAAGGAGCCAUUGCCACUUCAAAGGCCAAGGAGGAGCUUUGAAAGAUCAAACCUUAAUUUGAAAUUGAUGAGGCAAAACCAUUGUCGAGGUUGAAAAAGGCGCCUACUUAAGUUAGUCAGACAAGAUGAUAUGGCGACGCUUGAAUAAUGUUGCUUUUGUUGUUGGCAAGGUACCAAAGUCAGUACACAAAUUGCAAUUGCUAGGUUGGUGCAAGGCAUGGAAUAUGUGAAGUUUGAUGCGCUCUCGAGGUGAUAGAACAUAUGUCGCUAAGGGGAUUAGUUGCAUUGCUGAAGAGUUGGAAAACAAGUUGGCGGUUGUUGAGUCUUGCCAAAAGGAAAAAAAUGUUGCCAAGAAGAUUAACCAUUUGGUAAUAUUUGAGAGUGCUAGUAUGAAUAAAAUAAAGGAGUUAGGGAAGAGAAUAAGAACACGAGAUUUAUAGUGGUUCGGCUUAAUCCAAGCCUACGUCCACUCUCCCACGCUAACAGCCUUCUUGGCUGGAUUCCACUAUGCAAUCAACAAGAGAUUACAACUUCGAGUGCAAACACUUAGUAGUAGAUCACACUAUCUCACUAAGUCACUCUUUUGGUAUUUCUCUCAUGAUUACAAACGUUUAAGCUCUCAAGAGACAAGUAUAUGAUCGAAAGUCGCUCAGACUAAGUGAUUACAACUUCGAGUGCAAACACUUAGUAGUAGAUCACACUAUCUCACUAAGUCACUCUUUUGGUAUUUCUCUCAUGAUUACAAACGUUUAAGCUCUCAAGAGACAAGUAUAUGAUCGAAAGUCGCUCAGACUUUGGAAUUAUAAAUUCUACGCUCCGUCUCUUACUUGCUCAUCGAUCCAUAAUCUCCUUAAAUACUCCUCCACUUCCAAACUAUCGUUGGACAGUAUCCCGGAGAAUCGUCUUCUAAUAUACCCAUUGGACAGCUCUGUAUCUAGAAGAUUUGGUAGCCGUUGAGUGACAAAGGUAAAAUCCCAAAUUGAUUCCGAUCGCCCAUACAAACGAAAUAUUGGUUUCCAUAAGUAAAGCUUCUUCGUAUAGAAAGUUCUUGUCUUCAAGAUCCAAUCGUCAAUCAAAUAGAUUGAAUCAAUCAAAUCAAUCUUGAUGUGGAAUACAAACCAUAUCACUAGCCGUUAUAUGAUUGGGCUUGAAUUACGUUAUGUCGAAUCUGGAUGUAAAGUCUGAUAGCCAUAGACUUUACAAUCUGAGUCUGAGUCUGGCAGUCUUUAGACUUUGAGUCUUGAGUCUGGCAGUCUUCAGACUUUGACACAGAAGUCUGGAAAUCUUCAGAAUAUACUUUGGACAUGUGUUUCGUUCAGUCUUCUGGUCGUCUUCUGACUUUAAUAAUAUCCUUUACAUGUUAUAUUAUUUGCAUGGUCUAUUACUCAACCAUUAAACAUGUUAGUAGCCUUUGAUUUAUUUUGUCAUCUUCAAAACAUUAUAAGGGAUUUCCCUAACAAUCUCCCCCUUUUUGAUAAUGACAAAACAAUCUUUGAAUAUGCAGAUUUGUAAACAUGCUUUUAAAAAUAUUAAUUUAAAUCAAAGGAUAUCAGAAGAUAACAAAUAGAUUGAGCAUAAUAAUAUAUAGAUAAUAAUCGCAGCUCAAUAUUAUGCCAUAGAUAAUAUAAUAUCAACCAAUCAGCACAUAUGCAUAUUCAUAUCUUCUCCCCCUUUUUUUCAUAAUCAAAAAGCGAUAGUAAUGGAUUCACGUAGAGAAUGAUAACAAAUAUCUUGCAUGAAUCACAAUUUCCACAAAUCAGCUUUUAUCGAAUAUUAAAGAUAUGCAAUAUAGCUCACUUCGAUCAUAUAAGCAAAUAUCCAAUAAAAAUCACAGAUGCAUCAUAAAAUUCACGUACUCUUUUUGUCAUAAUAAAAUGAUAAUAUCAGUAAGAGAUUUGUUAAUGACAAAAGGUAAUAAAAGAUGCAUUAACCGGAUUUUUUUAGAAUAAAUUCUGACACAUUUACCUUUCCUUCCAUCCAUAAUAAGAUCACAAUCAAUCCAAAAAGAUUUUUCCAUAAUUGAUCAAAGCUCCCCCUCAAUUUGUUGCCUUUUUGAGAUGAUCACGAUUCUUUUCCUUUUCUUUUGGAUUCGAUUUCUCCCCCUGUGAUCAUGACAAUAUUUGCGAAUAGAAUUGUUGCUUGUGCACGUUGAACAUAAUAUAUUUCCAGUAUUUCCUUUGUAGCAACAACAUCCGCAACGAUCACUUGCAUUUUGAAAUUCGAGGCAAAAAUUUAUUUUCUUCAAUCAAGCUCUUCUCGAAUUCAACCUCCAGAAGAUAGUAUAAAAUCUUCACAAAUUUCUGAUCAAGCUUUCCAAAAUUCAUAUGGAAGAUUCUAUUGUGACCUGCAAAUUCUUAUAUAACAGAUAAUAAUCUUUGCAAAAAAAAUGUCACGUAAUAUCUUCCUUUGAUUUGUGGAUCAAACUUGCUAGAUAUAAUAUAUCUUCUAAGAAUAUAGCAAGAAUAUCCAUGAAUAUGCAAUAAUAUCUUUCGAGAUCAAAGCGAUUUCCUUCAGCAUAAAUUUCAGAUAUGCAUUUUGCAAAAGGAAAUUAGAUAUUUCUGUCACGUGUCAAAAUUGCAAUACAUUAUAUUUAUGACAGAAGAUAUUCGCAAUAUAAUAAACAAUCAUCAUGAUAAAUGCACGUAGAGAUUUGCAAGGUAGGAAAAAAAAUUCUCUUACCCAUGGUAUAUGUUAGAAAUAUACCAUUGAUUUAAAAAAUAUCACUACCAAUUGUCGCAGGAGAUAUUUUCUGAUUGCACCAAAAUUUGCGUAGAUUCGCAAUCAUCCUUCCCUUAAAGAAUUUCCUGCAAUCAACUCAUUUCCCUUUUUGGUAUCCAUCAAUUUGGAUCCUUCCUUGACGUUAAAGUAAAAUAUGAAAUCUCCAUAAUUAAAUAUUCUUUCUUAAUUCAUCAUAACAAAGUAUUCAAAGAAAGAAUAUUAUGCACAAUAAUAUCUUGCAUCAUAAAUUAAUAUCACGUAAAACAGAUUUUUAUUUGGCAAAAUAUGAUAAAAUCUGAGAGUAUAAAAUCAAACCAAAUAAAUUCAUUUGUCUUUAAGCAUGAUAUAAAAAAUGAUCACACGUAUCAAAUUAAAUCUCGAAUCACAAAUCACACAAUUCUUUCUUCAAUAAAGCAAAUAAAAAAAAAAUAUGAUCAUUAUAAAAUCUGAAUCAAUCAAUGAUAUAUCGAAUUUCAAGCAUAAUGAGAAUUAUGUGCCCAAAAACAUUCCUUACCAACUUCUUCUUUUCCUUUAUUUCCUUGAUUUCCUCAUCGGAUUCUGAGUCUGGUUCUGAAUCAGACUCUGAUUCUGACUCUGUGUCUGAGUCAGACUCAAAUUCUGAAUGUGCCAUCAAACAUAGAUUUCCUUGCUCAUCAUCUUCUUUUAUUGUUCUUUUCUGGCCAUUCUGCUUGUAUUUUCUUCUUUCACUAAACUUUUUCUCUUUUCUACUCAGCUUUUUGAAUUUCUCGAUAAUAAAAGCAAGUUCUUCGUCGUCCAUGUCAUUUUCUGAGUCUGUUUCAUCAAAAACAGCAUUAGAUAUUAAAGCAAUGGACUUCUUACCUUCGGGAUCUUCAUCGUUGAGUUGCUCCACUUCAUAGGAUUGAAGAGUGCCGAUCAAUUCAUCAACGGUGAGUGGCAUAAAUCUUUGAGUCUCCCGGAUUGAGGUCUUGACAUGGUUCCAAUCUUUUGAGAGACCUCGCAAGAGUUUGUUGACCUUCAUUGGAGAAGAAAUUUGUUGACCUUGAUAUGCUAAACCAUUUACAAUUUCUGUAAAACGGCUGAACAUAUCUCCAAUUGACUCUCCUUGCUUCAUCUUGAAGGAUUCAUAUUUGCCGAGCAAGAAGUUUACUUUUGUCUCUUUUACACGAUCGGUCCCUUCAUAUGUAACAUGAAGUUUAUCCCAAACUUCUUUUGAUCUCCAUCCGAGACAUAGGAGCAGGGGGUUUUAUUUCUUUGUCUUUGCCAUUCUUAUUUGAUGUAGACGCAGCAAUGGGGUUGAUUCCUCUUUCCACAACAUCCCAUUGUAAGAGAUCUCUGGAUCUUAGGAAUGCUUUCAUUUUGUUCUUCCAUACGUCGUAUUCCUUUCCAUCAAAAUAUGGUGGCCUUGUGUUGCUUUGCCCUUCCAUAAGUCCUGGUGCCAACAUACUAGCCAUAAAGAAUCUUUAGCUCAAAAGUAAAAAACACUUUUAUAAACCAAGCACUUAGCUCUGAUACCAAUUGAGAGUGCUAGUAUGAAUAAAAUAAAUGAGUUAGGGAAGAGAAUAAGAACACGAGAUUUAUAGUGGUUCGGCUUAAUCCAAGCCUACGUCCACUCUCCCACGCUAACAGCCUUCUUGGCUGGAUUCCACUAUGCAAUCAACAAGAGAUUACAACUUCGAGUGCAAACACUUAGUAGUAGAUCACACUAUCUCACUAAGUCACUCUUUUGGUAUUUCUCUCAUGAUUACAAACGUUUAAGCUCUCAAGAGACAAGUAUAUGAUCGAAAGUCGCUCAGACUUUGGAAUUAUAAAUUCUACGUUCCGUCUCUUACUUGCUCAUCGGUCCAUAAUCUCCUUAAAUACUCCUCAACUUCCAAACUACCGUUGGACAGUAUCCCGGAGAAUCGUCUUCCAAUAUACCCAUUGGACAGCUCUGUAUCUAGAAGAUUUGGUAGCCGUUGAGUGACAAAGGGAAAAUCCCAAAUUGAUUCCGAUCGCCCAUACAAACGAAAUCUUGGUUUCCAUAAGUAAAGCUUCUUCGUAUAGAAAGUUCUUGUCUUCAAGAUCCAAUCGUCAAUCAAAUAGAUUGAAUCAAUCAAAUCAAUCUUGAUGUGGAAUCCAAACCAGAUCACUAGCCGUUAUAUGAUUGGGCUUGAAUUACGUUAUGUCGAAUCUGGAUGUAAAGUCUGAUAGCCAUAGACUUUACAAUCUGAGUCUGAGUCUGGCAGUCUUUAGACUUUGAGUCUUGAGUCUGGUAGUCUUCAGAAUAUACUUUGGACAUGUGUUUCGUUCAGUCUUCUGGUCGUCUUCUGACUUUGAUAAUAUCCUUUACAUGUUCUAUUAUCUGCAUGGUCUAUUACUCAACCAUUAAACAUGUUAGUAGCCUUUGAUUUAUUUUGUCAUCUUCAAAACAUCAUAAGGGAUUUCCCUAACAAUAUUAGCCGAAGGCUUACGAGGAUUUCCAUUAAGGACUUAAUGUAGGCUGUCCGUCAGAUGGAGUUCUAGAAAGAGUAACUUAAUUUGAGCAAUCUUUGUUGUAUGAUUAUUGAGUGCUUCAAAGUUCAAUCCCAUUAUGAUGAAGAAAGGACAAAUAGUUGCGCAAACUUGAUGAUGAAGAAGAUUUUGCACACAAGAGGUAAGAGAAUAUUCGAGAAGUUACAGUCUUGCAUUGUCUUAAUGAGAUGUACAACCCAUUCUGAUAUUCAAGAGGACGAUCUCCACAACCUAAAAUCACAUGGUAGAAGUUUAUGUAGUUGAACUUAAUUCAACACAAUGUCAACUCAUUCCCAUGCUAGUUUUGCGGCUGUAUUUGUAAUCUAAUGAAAAAGAAUUCACAGCACAAAAUAUAUGGAUUUUUAAUUCGACUAAUAGCAAAAACUGGUGAUGGUUGAUAAUGAAAAUCAUUUGAGAAUAUGAUCUAAGUCAUGUCAAAUUAGUAGCACCACGACAACAACAACAACUUCAGAGCUUUGGACACUAAGGCAAAUGAUAUGCACUCUACUUAAUCAACGGACCUAAUUCAACAUAAUGUCAAAGGACUUAUACUAUUGCAACAUUCAUAUUCAAAUUCACUGGUCAUAAUAAAUCAGGAUCCAUAUGAGACCGACAUUUUUUUAUUAAGAGCAACGGUUCCAAACAAAGCAAAUAUGCAAAAAGCUAGAUAAGAGGCCAACGGUGAAGUGCUCAAACUUCCUCAGCAAAUUCAACACUACCAAUUUGCUCAUAGCACUUUUGCUUCAUAACAUGUCCUCAAACACUCGUUAACUUUUCAUGGAGCUCCACAAUGAACUCAUUCUCAUCCUAAACCUCAGCUUCUGAGCUUCUCGCUCAAACUUCUUGUUCUGCAACUCCUGUUAGUUAUAAACCUCUUUAUCAGCUUCAACAAGGGCCUUUUUUGCUCAACACCUUGGCAUUUCAAAUCAGAGAGGAAGAAGUUUCUAAUUAUCCAUUGUUAAAACAAAACAAACCCAUUUGAGCAUUUCAUUGAACAUCUUUGGGGUGCGUGGCGAGCCUCUAAGAAAGAAAAUCAAAUUAGACUGGAACUUGCAAUGAUUGUCGAGAUAAAGGAAUCAUAAUUCUGUAAUCUCGCCACUUUUGGCUUCAUGGAAUCGUUUACGAAGAAUUUCAAGGAGUGUAACUUAGAAUAUUCAAAACGAGCUAGGUCGUGUUUUUUUUUUUUUUUUUUUGGUGAAAAGCUAUGUUGUGUUGUAAUGGCUUGCGUUGAAGAAAAGCUGGUGCUGGUCAUAAGACGAGAUGACAGAGAGAGAGAGGGGCUGAUGAGUGAUGAUCGUGUGGAAGAUGGAGGUGGAUGACAAGCUGGUCCUGGUUAUGGUAAUUCAUCGAGCUCACAAGUGGGGGCAGUUGGAGCUGAAAGAAGAUGGAAGAACAAGAAGAAAAGAAAAAGAGAAAGAAGAAAAAAAAAAUAUACUUCAACGAAAAUGCCCUUAGUUGGAAAUAAGAUUUAGCCAGCUGGUAAAAUUGGGUCUUUACUUAAGACUAAAUUGUUCACUUCAAAUACAAAUCUUUAUUUGAAAUGAUGUCCACUUUGGGCCCGUUUUUAAGAAAACACCUUCACUUUAUAUUCUUAUUUAAAAUUUAUCGUUCUCCUUUUAUUUGGACUAAGGAUCGAGUCUUUUGACUUUUCUUUUUUGGUCGAUCCUACUUUACUCCUGUUCUAAUUCUCACUUUCAGACUUUUGUCUUGUCUCAUUGCAGGGCAUGAGAGUCGAAAUCCACACUAGAAACUAAAUCGUCCUCACUCCAACCCCCUAAGAAGGUGGAGAUUCGAACCCUCCACAUCCUCCUUCCAUAUUGGAAAUGUGGCCACUGAGGCAAAUCUCAUUGGUUAGUCUUUUGACUUAUUGAUUAUGUGCGUUAGCCACUAAACUAACCCCACAAAAAAACACUUGUUUAAAGGUGAAUCAUGUGGUUUAACCAUCCCUUUUUUAACAAUAAGUGACGUGAUAGCGUUGCGUAAGUGUAGGGAGAUUCAUUAAACUUAGACAAUUCAAAAGUAUCAUCGUAUCACAUUUCCCUUGGUUGGUUUGUUUUGUCAUUUUUCCUUUUUCUUUCCUACUUCAUGUUCUAAUCGUGUGGUGUUGAUUUUGUUUCCAAUUUGUUGGUAAUAUCUACCUUAUUUAUUUACUCGAUGAAUCGUUAGGGGUGUCGUUGACCAAAAUCAGGUCCCAUCGAUCCCCAAAUGCCGAAAUAUUUUACUAAAAUGUGUUUUUCACGACAAACUAUAGAAGCAAUUUAUAUUGUUGGGUUCAACAAAUUUGGACAAUUCGACCAAAAAAAAUAAUAUUUGGACAUUAGGAACAAGUAAAUAGACCAUGUCAAGUUGGCCCCAAAUGCAUGUUAAAUACGUAUGAGUUAGUAAGUGUACUUCCAGAAAAGGAUUAGAGAAACACUCGUCACGCAUCUAGAUAAGCACCCUAAACAUACGUUGCAUAGAUCUCAUUUAUGGUGUUGUACAAUAUCCACAUAUUGAUGAAAUUUCUUCUUCUAACAAGGAGACUGUAUUCUGUCUAUAAUUAUUUCCUAUGGCCACCAAAACAACUCACUUGUGUGCAUGCAGUGUCAAAUAAUCAUCUUCUGUGAAUGGGAUAUAUAAGAAUACUCCAUGAAUUGCUUCAAGUCCAUGGUGAAGAAUAAGGACCGAAGCAACGAAAAGGGAAAAUGAAGAAAAGAAUAACAAUGGAAUCAGGAAAGCAAGACAGGUCAGUCAGCUUUUGGAAUGUAGGAAUUAAAAGUUUGGAACAUCUAGCAUCGCCCCCUCGACAAAAGGAAAACAUCAUGCAAACUCGAGCUAGAAGACCACGAUUCUGCACACACGCCAUCAAAACAACUUUCAACUCCAAUGUUGCACAAAACUAGGCCAGCCAGCUCCCCCACAACUAAUAAGCAAAAUCACAAUAUCCCUCACCCUGUCCUAAAUACUAAUUCCAGCUCGACACCCCAUAAUAAAUAAAUGAUCAGACGAACGAAUAAUUCCAUGAUUAAAAUGACAGAAACAGGGAAUUUCAGAAGAAGAAAUAGAAGUGCCCACACAUCCCUUGGCCCGAUAGUAACAGAGAAAGCAUCAGCCAAUUUAUCAAUAUCAGAUUGAGAGUCUCUCUGCAUUCCUUGCCGAAAGAUACCCUCUUUGGAUCCACUCUCACCACAAAGUUUCCAACUUUCUGCCCGUUCCUCCAUAAACCCACCACCCUCCUGCUUCCACUCGGAUUCUGGACAGGGAACAGCGCUCGAGUUCUUCAAUCUCAAUCCGAAGAAGUAUAAUGCGUAAAAGGGCAUGAAGGAAUCGAGGGAAAAAAGAAGAAAAUCAAAAGAGGAACUUACCCGAAAGAGCAGAUUCUGAGGGAUGAUCGAAGGUGCCGUAAAGGAGGAGGCGGACAUUCUCGGGGGCGGUUCCUUCCUGGGUUUUUCGAGGGGUUUAAGGCUUUAACAUUGGGGGCCGCUAAUUCCCACCCUUCCGUUAGCUUAUUCACGCCCUUAAUAAAGAUUAAAAUGGCAAGAAUAGCCCAAGGUGAUUCCGACAAGCUGCGAGGCGGAAGAGAUCGCGAGGGCGAAGCAAGCGCCGGCGGCGACAAUGAGGAGGCGCUCUUCGAGGAUCGGUGGGGACAGAGGGAGGGUGAAGUUGUGAUUGGAGUUUUACGCGAUAUGGAAUUUCACUUAAUCAAAUAAAGGAAAAAAUUUAUAAGAUGAUUACAAGGUAAGUGAACGUCUGGCAAAUAAAUAUUGAUAUUCGACGUUAUAUAUAUUUAUAUUCAUAUAACCAAUAUCAUUAAGUGUGAAAAGAUUUAGUUUGUUGUUGUAGGCAUUUUACACCUGCAAAUUAUCACGUGCAUGGAUUCUAGUCAACAUAAAACAAAGGAAAUGUGGGAAAGAAGAUUUUAGUUUAAACUCAGGAUAUUUUUUUUGAAAAAAAUCGAUGCAAACAGUUAUGUCCUAUGUGAGAGAAAGAAUCCAAUCGCACAAAGUGAUUCAGAAGCAUUAUUGAUAGAGCUAAAGAAUGUUACUAGGACUCGUUAGAUGUAGUUGUUUUGAUUGAACAUUAACUUGAUCAUUUCAAAUAAUUAAUCAGUUAUUAUGACAUUUAUAAAAUUACUAACGCUAUUAUUUUGUCUUCGUGCAAAUUAAUGUUUGCUCUCAAGAGGAGCUCAUGGUACAAAUCUUCGCUGGAACAAGACCACAUGCAUGUGACGCCAUGAAUAAGGGCAUUUUUGUCCAAAAAAGUCCAAACUUAAUUUCCAAGUUUCCCAAUUAAACUCUAAUCCCAAAAUCUUAAAAGUUAAUCACAAAUUUCACCCCUUACUCUCGUUUAGACUAAACCUUAGUCGCCACAUCCUUCAACUCAAAAUCUCCGCCUCUGUCACCUUCUCUCGGCUUCUUCUCUUCCUCAAACCUAGCCCUAGACACCUCCAACUCAUGCUUAGUCUCUUGUUUGACGCUUCAAGCUCUUCAAUGCACUUUACCGAUUUAACAAACUUGGCAUUUAUGGAGCAAAUCACGCCCUCAAGCGUUGGAUCAAGGGACGUAGUUUGUACAAUCUGCACUGCUGAUGGUUCAUCAUAUUCGUUGAGACUUUGAAUUACCAUCAGAUUGUCAUUGAACUUGACAUUGAUAGAUUCUUUCACUUCUUGCAAAAUUUUGUUGAACAUACCAUAUGCUUUGCUAGUAGUACAGUAAUUAAGAAAUAUACCUUCAUUUGAUCUUGAUUUGAACUUACUAACAUUAUCGUUUGCAUUUUUCAUAAUAUAACAUUAACAAAAAAUAUGAAAGUAAGAUAUGUUUGGCUUUCUUUCUCUAAAAAGCUUAUAGGGUGUUUUAUCAAACAACGGAUGCAAAAACACUAUUGACGAUAUAACAAAAUGUUGCAAUUGCUUCAACCCAAAAGUAAUUGCUUCAACCCAAAAGUGAGCAAGAAUGCUACUUGCGAUCAUCAUUGUUCUUGCCAUGUCCCUAAACUCUCUUUUGACUACACUAUUCUAUUCUGGAGUGUAUGGAGUUGAGAAAUUGAACUCCAUUUCAUUCUCCUCGCAAUAAUCAACAAAGUUCUUGUUUUCGAACUCCCCACCAUGAUCAAUCCCGAUGCUUACAAUUCUAUAACAUUUCUCAUUUUGAAUCUUUCAUGCAAUUAUUAUGAAGGAUUUGCAUGCUUUAUCCUUUUAAGCCAAGGAGAUUAUUGUCGCAACCUAACCCCUCUCGUGAGAGAGAGAGAUUGUUAGGUUUUGGGAUAUUGUUAACUUCAGGCCAAUGGCCUUUCCAUGACUCAAGCUCUCUCGAAUCCAUACCUUACAUGACAUCGAGCGUUCGGAUUUUAAUCGAUUAAGCUUAUGAAAAUUUUGACUGAGGAGUUGCUAUUAACCUUUUUGGGAUUGGGUAAGAUACGACGCGACAUAAGAUUUUGGACUUGGAGACCUAAUCAUGUGCUAAUUAAUGCCAUAGCAAUCUAUCAAGGUUUGUCCUAACCAUUCUAAAAUAAUGAAGUAAUAUCCAAAUGUUGAAAAGCACAAUAUAGAAAUUAUGCAAGCAUCAUAAAAUUGUCCAUAACAAAGAAAACAAAAUAAAGCAAAAUAAGAAUCCCUAUUGCAAAACCCUAAAGGCUUGUCCAAAUUUUGGGCAUUAACAUUUUUAAGGAGUUUUCCAAUUUUUCUAAAAUUUUAUAUUUUUCAUUUUUUGUUUUUAAAAUUUUCGAAUUUUUAAUGAUUUUUAUAAUAAUUCUUGGUCUGGGUUUUGUGAUUCUUUUAGCGAUUUUCUGAAAUUUCUAAAAUUUCUAAUGAUUUUCCGGAUUUUCCAGAUUUUUAUGGAUUUUCUUAUUUUUUCAAAAUUUUUAAUAUAUUUCUGAAUUUUCUAAUUUUUCAAUGAUUUUCGUAAAUUUCUAAUUUUUCAUUUGUUUUCGAAUUUUCUAAAUUUUUUAUUAUUUCCCAAAUUUUUUUUUAUCGUUUCCUGAAUUUUUAAUUUUUUAAAUGUUUUCCCAGAUUUUAAAUUAAUUAAUUUAUGAUUAUAUUCGUGGAAUGGGUUCGGACUGUUUACCCGAUCCGACUUGCCGACCCGACACAAACCCGGAUCCGACCCAGUAGGAUUAAAAAACGAAUUUUUUUCUAAUUUUUUAUUUUUAUUUUCUAAUUUUUCUUUCUUUUUUCUCCUUUGUCUUUUCCCUAUUUUGUCCUAUUCACUGCAACUUCUCCUCCCUUCAGGCACCUUCAGCGCCCGAAGCUUCUCCACCUGCAAUUUAUUUUUCCAGAACCAAGAAUACUCCACGGCGCCGCCAUCCAAUCUCACCGUGUCGUCAAUGGCGCCCACGUCGCCGGAGCACAAAGGUUUACCUGGCUUGGGAACGGGGGUGUUCAUUGCGGACCGAUCGCUGGCGGAGCUUCGACCGACGGUGAGCAGCUUCCCUUUUCGUCUAGAGAUUUCGCCUAAUGGCCGAAUGCUCAACACUCAGCCGUGAACAGCAUGAUGGCCGCCGGUCGGGCAAAGGCUCCUCCAAUGGCUGAACUACCUUCUGCUCUGUUUUCUCUCGAUCGAGCCCCUCUCCAAUGGCUGAACUCUUUGUCUUCUCUCUCUGAUCUCCAGCCAGCUCAGCCUUCUUUCUGCCCCAGCUUUUCUCACGUCGCUCUUGUGGUGUUUUCUUCUCACAGAUGCCGGUUCGUGCAAACAAGGGGAAGAAGUCAACCUUGGGCCGGGCCCCUUUUAGGCUUUUAUGGGCUCAAAACAAAAGAAAUAAAGAUGGGCUGAAAACAAAAGAAAUGAAGAUGGGCCUUAAAAGAAAGAAACGAAGAUGGGACGGGCGAACGGGGUUUAGAGGGCUGAAAGUCACUAAGUGGGCCGGACAAACCAGCCCACACGACUUCAUCAUUUUUUUUAUAUCAUUUUCAUUUUUUUUUAUCAUUUUUUAUCCUUCAUAUGUUUUUAGAAUUUUACCUUUUUUUUAAAUGGAUAUUUUAAAAACAUUGACAAAAAUUCGGAUGUCAAUGGCUACCAAAGGGAAUCUGGAAUAAUCAUCCACAAUCAUUAGGCAAUACUCAUUUCUACCAAGGCUAGUAUUCCUUAUAGGUCCGAAAAGGUCCAUAUGAAGUAGUUACAAUACUCAAUUAGUAGAAAUAGUAUUUAUAGAUUCAAAAGAACUUGUGACUUGCUUAUCUAACGAACAUGCAUUAUAGACUUCAUUCUUCUCAUACCUCAUUCUUGGAAGACCUCUUACCAUCUCCUUUGAAGCUAGUUUAGAGUUUUCCUUUGGGCUAAUGUGAGCAAGUUUUCUAUGUCACAUCUCUUCAUUUCUUUUUUAUGCAAAAAAAUCAAUGAGUGCUUUCACUAUGAACGUUCAGUGGAUAGAUAUUUCCAUACCUUUUUCUUGAGGAAGUUUUUGAUGGGUAUUUGGCUUUACCUAUGCAAUUACCAUCUUUAAAGUUGAUCUCGUAUCCUUUAUCACAGAGCUUAUUGAUGCUUAUUAAAUUGUGUCUCAAUCCUUUGACCAAGGCAAUGUCAUCAAUGAUUAGUUCUCCCACUUUGAUGGUGUCUCUACUAAUUAUUCUUCAUUUGUCUUUUCCUCCAAAGACAACAUAUCCACCAUUAACUUGUGUUAAAUGUAGAAAGGUAUUGGUAUCUCCAAUCAUGUGUUGUGAGCAUUUGCUAUUCAAAUAUCUUUUGAUUGACUUCUUUCCCUACAUUAAAAAGUUAGUUUUUUCUUAUGUGGUACCCACACAAACUUGGGUCCAUCACUAUUAGUGUAUCUAAACUUCUAGUUCACCUUCUUUGACUUUGCUUUUUGGUUUGGACACUCAUGUUUUGAAUGACCAUCACCAUUGUAGCUCAAAUAGUUAGGGACCUUUUUACUAAUUGGUUUAAUAAAAUGUUUUUCAAAGUUAUCUUUGUAAACAGGAAUGGAAAUACGAGUUUUCUUUGAAGUUCUUUUUUUAUUUUUUGGAAAUGGAUUGCUUUCUUCUUCAUUUCCCUCAUGCCCUAAAUCGGAUUUGUUGUAAUAAGGGAUUUGAAUUGAAAGUAUGUGCUCAAGUAUUUUUGAACCAAGAGAAAACUUUGAGCAAACAAGUGUGAUCUCUUUCUUGAGAGAGUCGGCUUCAUCUUCAGCAAGUUUGCGUUGCACAAUACAUGUAUUGAGUUCCAUGUCUAAGUCAUUAAGUACAACUUUUAGAAAAAUGUUUUUAAUAGUGAGUUUCGCUCCAUCACUUUUUUAAAACAGAUAUUUUUGGAAGCCUUUUUAUGUUCCUUAAAAACUUAUUUUAAAAAUUGUUGCAUUUCUUUACAAGUAAGGUCAUAAUUUUCUACCUUGAUUUCUUCAUCGCUUUUAGUUAGUCAUAAGGCAUAUGUUGGCAUGAUUGAGAUCUUUAUUGUUGCUUUCGCACUCGAUAUCACUCCAAGUUUUAGCUUUGAGUGCAAGCUUCUUCUUUUCGAACUUUCCUCUCUUCUUCUUUUGAAGUGGACAAUUUGAUGGAGUUGUGGAGUCUGAUAGAGGAAAAUAAUGUUAAGCGCAGAAACAAUUUAUUUUAGGCUUGCACUUCCUAGUAGGUCAUCCAUCCUAUAAUGUUAAAGUAGGCAAUAUGAAUUUUAUUGUUGCUAAUGGCAUAUAUGGGGGUAAGUACACUAUCAAUGCCAAAAGUUGUGUACGACGCUCACUUUGGUGCCAAAAGUUUCCGUCGGAUCACUUAAGUACCAAAUCAGAGAAAAAACGAUCACUUUAGUGCCACUGGCGAGAGAUUCCGGCCAAAAUGAUUACAUGGCUUUUAUAUUUAAAAAAAAAAGUCGACGUGGCUAAAGAUUGUUCAUGGUGGAUGGCAUAAAACGACGCCAUUUUUCUUUCUUCAUUAGAAACGUCAUUUUAUACCAUUCCACGUGAAUUCACUUAUAAAACGAUGCCGCAUUGUUCUACGGAAAAAAACGGUGUCGCUGAAGAGGGAGUAAAAUAGGGUUUGUAUACGAUUCUCACUCGACGCCGACCGUAGCUCACUCACCCACCGUCGUUUAGUCGCCCGUCGUCGCUCGGCCACCGCUGUAGUUGUACCAUCGUUCACGGUCAUUCGUUGGUUGCGUCCCCAACUCUCGCUCACUCGGGUUUGUCAUGUUCUCUACAUGAAUCAAUUUAGUGAAAAAUUUAGGGUUUCGAUGGGCAAGUUAGGGCGCGAAUGGCAAAUUGAGGGCUCGGCUUAGGGGGAAAGUGGUGGGGAUCUCACUUUUAUGGGGACCAAAUGGAAAAAUUGAGGGUUUCGUUGUUCGUUCGCUUUCUUUUGGGGGGACCGAAUAGAAAAAUAGGGCGUGGAGGGGAAAAUGGGGGCUCGACUCGGAGGGAAACAGUGGUGGGACCUUACUUUAUUUAAUUAAUUGGACUACUUCUGUGGGGGACCGAAUGUGAUUGAAUUGAAAAAUGAGUGGUGGGGACCUCACUUUGUUUAUUCAAUUCGGUUUCCUUUGUUUCUAUAAAGGCACCGAAUUGAAUAAGUUAGUUGCAUUUGUUUCUUGACAACAAAACGACAAGGACCUACAUGUGAAGUUGCUGGUGAAGUUGCUGAUUCUAUCUUGUGAUCCCAAAAACCAAUGAAUUUUUUUUUUCAUUAGGUGCAACAUUGGCAUGGAUGAGAAUUAGGUAGGUGUCAUUGUUUGCUAUGGUGGAGAGUUUGUUAUUGGCACCGAGGAUUGGGAAUAUACUGGUGGAAAUGAAGGUACUAUCUAUGUCAAUGUUCGGAAGUCAUAAUAUAUUGAUUUUCUAAGGGAUUUUGUGUAUUUUUUACGAUGCAAGGUGCAAAAACUACAUUACUGUGUUUCUGAGAAGAAUUGAAGGAUGGGUUGAGAUUUUUUAAUGACGAUAAUAGUAUUAAAGAUAUCAUUUAUCAUUAUCUUCACGGCGAAGAAGCUGGGGUAUAUGUUGAGUAGUAUAAUGAUAAUGAGGAUGGUGAAAAUGAGGAUGAGGAUGAGGAUAAGAAUGGGGAUGGGGAUGAGCAGACCACCACUGAAAGUGGAGAAGUGAGAGAUCCUAUUCAAGCUAGUAAUUAGGUCGGGGAUGAGUUUAGGUUAGAUGAAGGGCAAAAUGAGAGGGAGAGAAGUCAUAUUGAUAUAGAUGAACAAAUAUGGAGAUGUCUUGAAAAUCUUGGGUGAAGAUGUGAGUGAUGAAGAGUUCAUUGGAUUAGAAUGGGAAAUUGCUAUAUUUAGUGAAUCUGAAGAUGAAUAUUUGGCUUCAGUAAGUUUCCCAAGUGACGAAGAUUAUGAUGAACUCGCAUAGUCAAGACAAAAGCAAAUGGAAUUUCUCAGAAAAAAAUUUGCAACUUCAGCAAAGAGGCCCAAGCUAGUAAAUAUGGAUGGAGCUCCGGCUGAAGGUAAUAGAAGUAAAGAUGAAGAAAGCUACGUUGAUGAAGUUGCUAGUUCGGAGAAUGAACUUGACAAUGAUGAUGAAGAACUUGCUCGUGAAAGAAAAGGUAAAUACCAUUGCUAUGAUCUGACUGUUGAUAAACCUAUUUUGUCUGUGGGCAUUAGAUUUGAUGAUGCCAAACAGUUCAAGGAAGCUGUUGUCAAGAACUUCAUUGCUGAACAGAGGAGCAUUGAAUUCAUUAGAAACACGAAGGAAUUUGUGAGAGCUAAGUGCUCACAACCUAAUUGUUCAUGGAAGCUUUAUGGCGUGCUGAGUAAUAAGGGGUCAUUCCAGAUUAGGUCAUUCCAGGAGGAGCAUACUUGUCUAAUUAUAUUUAAUAAUAAAAGGGUAACGAGUGUGUUGGGAUAUAAUAAGCGGAAAUGACAAGAUCGUGCAAUUUACAUUAACGCGAAAUCACCAGAGAAAUAAACGAGAAAUAAUAAAGACACCACAAAUUUACAUGGUUCGAUCUGAGUAUCAGUAUCUACGUCCACGGGGAGAGCCAUAAGCAAAUAAUCCACUAUAAUCGGAGAAUCAGAGCUUACAAUUACUCACAUGCUCAAGUGUUUCACACAUCUAGAUUUAACCUCAAACCCAAACUAUUCAUAAAUAAACAACUCACUUGGACAAAAAACUCACGGCACAAAAUCAAAGCACGUUCAAGCUCAAAAUAAGACGCUCUACGUACGCCACAAUCAAGAACUCCGGUGUUCAUCUUUGGUCCACGUACAUAAAUCUUCACGUUCCUUUGGAAAGCUUCGCACGGCUUGCGUGGAUAUGCAGCUCCUUUCUGUUUUGCUUUCGUAGGGCUUCAGCGGCUUCUUUUACGUAAGGGGGAAAAAGACCUGCAACAAAUUUCUGUUUUUAUACAUGUGUGCCCAUGUCAUAGUUUGACGUGGGCCCACCACAUUUUGUUUCACGUGUAGAGGCUCUACAUGCAGGAGCUACUCACCUUUUUCCUUCCUUUGUUUCCAUCGGCUAAAAGUAGAAAAUCCAAGUGUGAAAGUUGUGUGCCAUUGACUUUGGGCCCCACUUAAAUGAAUACAACUUGGAUAAGGAUUCGGCAAGUCCUGCAGAUCAAGGAAGCAAGAGGGAUUUGACUCAUUUUUUUGAUUUUUUUUUUCUCUUUUGUAAAUCUUCAUGGAGUCCCACAAACUUCCUCAUCCAAGCAAAUCGCGUUUUGCAAAAGCUCAAACUCGAGACAUAAUUUAACAAUUCUCUACCUUGGCUUGAUGUUUGAAGCCAAGUUAUAGUGCUAAUUAUCCAUGCUGCUUUCCCAACGUUCUGACGGGCGCUCACUCUCCAUAGAUGCCAAUAGAACUCAAGCAAGCUUGAGCUCCGCCAAAGGAAUAGACUUAUUCUGCCGGGUUAUUUGCUGUAACAAUCUUGUUGACAAUAACAUUACCCUUAGUUAAAACAUCUCGGUGAUAUGCUUCGUUCGCUCGUGAUAAACUGGAUUAUACACCAAAUAUAUUGCACCUUGGUUAUCACAAUGUAUAUCCACACUUUUCUGUUCUAAUCCAAAGUUCGAGAGCAAACUUUGUAACCAUAUUGCCUCUUUCGCUACAAAGGUUAGUGUAAUGUAUCUUGCCUUAGUCGAAGAUAAGGCAAUAUGAUAUUGUAAGGACACUUUCCAACUAACUACACCACCCGCUAGCGUAAACACAUACCCUGCUAAAGACUUGCGAUCAUCCAAGUCACCGGCGUGAUCUGAAUCCACAAAACUAGUGGUCUCACUGUCAUUGUCGUCCCUCCAGUACACUAUACCCACGUCUGUCGUCCCCCUCAAAUAUUUGAGGAUCCACUUCAUAGCUUCCCAAUUAGCUUUGCCAGGACGCUUCAUAUAGUAAUUAACCGACGUGCGGACCUCUCAAGUGCCAUAACUUUGGCCAAAGGGACACUUAAGUGCCAUAACUUACGAAAGGUACACUUAAGUGCCAAAAUCGGAGUAAAAGGGAUCACUUGAGUGCCAAUCCGGCCAAAAUCCGGCCAAAAUGCCGACGUGGCAUUUUUUCGGCGAAGCACACCCAGAACGACGCCGUUUUGCACGCUUACGUGGCGAAAAUAAUGCAAAAACGGCGUCGUUUUGGCCUGACGUAGUAAAAAAUUAAAUAAAAUUAAAUUUAGUUAAAAUAUUAAAAAAUAAUAAUUAAUUUUUUUUAAAAAAACUCUAAAAAACUUUAAAAAAUUUUAAAAUUUUUUUUUUUUAAAAAAAGGGAACGGGGGGAGGCGGCUAAGGGAUCAACCCUCAGCAGCCGCCGCCGCCGCCCCGCCGUCGCCGGGGGGAGGGUCAGCCGAGGGCUCACGAGCCCUUGCUGCUGGAUCUGGGGAGGCUCGCGGCCCUCGCCCGGCCGACCGGUGCGGAGGCCUCGCGACCCCCCGUCGGCUGUGGCCGAGGGCCGCGAGCCCUUGCCGCUGGAUCUGGGGGGGCUUGUGGCCCUCACCAGAUCGGGCGAGGGCUCGCGACCCCUCGCCACUGGGUCUGGGGGGGCUCGCGGCCCACGCUGCCGGUUGGCCGGGGUGGCCAGCCCCUGACCAGGCCCCGGCAACCCCGGCCGACCCUCCCCUCGCGGUAACCGGCCCUUCCCGGCGGCAGUGGGGCGGCGGCAGCGGUGGGCGAGGGAUGAUCCGUCAGCCGCCUACCCCCGUUCCCCUUUUUUUUUAAAUAUUUUGUUUAAAUUUUUUAAAGUUUUUUAGAGUUUUUUUUAAUUAUUAUUUUAAUAUUUUAACUAAAUUUAAUUUUAAUAUUAUUAAUUUUAAUAUUUUAACUAAAAUUUAAUUUUAAAAUUAAUUUAAUUAAUUAGUUAAUUUUUUUUUACCACGUCAGCCCAAAACGACACCGUUUUUGCAUUAUUUCGCCAUGUCAGCGUGCAAAACGGCAUCGUUUUGGGCGCGCUUCGCCGGAAAAAUGCCACGUCGGCGUUUUGGCCGGACUUUGGCCAGAGUGGCACUCAAGUGAUCCAUUUUUCUUCGAAUGUGGCACUUAAGUAUACCUUUCGUAAGUUAUGGCACUUAAGUGUCCUUUUGGCCAAAGUCAUGGCACUUGAAGCGUUCUUUUGCCGUAAUUAACCACGCUCACAGCUUGUGAAAUAUCAGGCCUAGUGCACCAUAGCAUACAUAAUACUACCCACAACACUAGAAUAAGGAACACGGGACAUAUGCUCCUUCUCCUUAGUCUGCGGUGAUAAUUUAUCUGAAAGUUGAAAGUGCAUCGCUAAAGGUGUCCUUACAGAUUUUGCUGAUUGCAUAUUAAAAUGUGUCACGAUCUUCUCAAUACAUUUCUUCUGAGAUAGACGUAAAACUCCUAUAGCCCUGUCAAGCAAAAUCUCCAUACCCAAUAUUUUAUUUGUAGCACCUUAAUCUUUCAUCUUAAAUUCAGCAUUUAAUUGCCUUUUCAGCACAUCAAUAUCAUAUAUAUUCUUAGCUGCUAUCAGCUACUAUCAGCAUAUCAUCAACAUAUAAAAGUAGAUAAAUCAAAGAACCAUUCUCCAAUCUCUUAUAGUAAACAUAGCUAUCCAUCUGACUUGUUGUAUAGUUUUGACUAAUCAUUUAUAGCACUACCCAGGAGAUUGUUUCAGCCCAUACAAAGAUUUCUUCAACAAGCAAACAUGAUAUUUCUUACCUAGAAUAGCAAAUCCCUCUAGCUACAUCAUGUAAAUCUGCUCCUCCAAUUCACUGUGAAGAAACACAGUUUUCACAUCUAGUUGUUCUAACUGGAGAUCCUACGAAGCAACUAAGGCAAGUAAAACACAAAUAGAAGAAUGUCUUACCACAUGAGAGAACACCUCAUUGUAGCUAAUGCCCUCACACUAUGUAUGUCCCUUUGCCACAAGUCUCGCCUUAUACCUCGCUGCCUCAACACCGGAAAUGCACUCUUUCUGUUUAAAGACCCAUUUAUUUCCGACAAUCUUUUAGCUCUUGGGUACUUUGAUUAGCUCUCAUGUUUGAUUUCGAUAGAGUGAUUCCAUCUCUUCACUCAUAGCCCCUAGCCACCGCGACGACUUCGAACUAGCCAUCGCCUUAGAGUAAGACGAAGGCUUAUUUGUCUCCACCUCCUCACCUACAGUCAAUGCAUAAGCAAUAUCUGUAUAACUAUAACGUAUUAGCGAUUUGAUUUGUUUUCUUUAUCUACGGCUAUAGUAUGUUGCGGUUUUGCUGGUUGUUCAUUAUUAGGAACUGCGGCUUCAUCUGCAAUCUUAACCUUUGUUACCUUCGAGGUUUCCGGAGUCUCCACCUGAAGUUCCACCUCACUAAUGACACCAUGAUCUAUCUUCUCUGCUGGUUGGAUCUCAGAACUCCUCCGUUGAAGUAUUGCAGUCUUAUCGAAGAUCACAUCUCUGCUAAUUAGAAAACCGGGUGAUUUGGGAUCAGUGCACCAUAGCUGGUAGCCUUUCACCCCAUGUGCAUAACCCAGAAAUAUGCACUUCUUUGCCCUCGGCUCAAGCUUACUAUCACUCGCAUGAGCAUGCACAGGACAUCUGAAUAUACGUAAUCCAGAGUAAUCAAUAGGUUUCCCUGACCAUACUUCCUUAGGAGUCUUCCACUCGAUAGCAGAUGAUGGUGAUCAAUUAACCAGGUAACAUGCCAUGUUCACUACUUCAGUCCAAAAUUAUUUACCAAGUCCUACAUGCGAAAGCAUGCAUCGAGCUUGCUCAAGCAAAGUUCUAUUUUUUUGUUUUGCCACACCAUUCUGUUGUGGUGCCCCAGGUAUUGUGUAGUGUCUCAUAAUAAAUUCUUUCUUGUAGAACUUGGUAAAAUCUUUACAAUAGAACUCCAUAUCAUUAUCGGUUAUCUUUACAAUAGAACUCCAUAUCAUUAUUGGUUCUAAGGCACUUGAUUUGUUUAUCUGACUGCUUCUCAAUCAAUGUCUUAAAUUUUUUGAAUCGAUCAAACACAUCAUAUUUAUGCUUCAGAAAGACCCAUAUCUUCCUCAAAUAGACAUCGAUAAAUGUCAGCAUAUAUCGUGCACCUCCUUUUGAAGGAACUGAAGACAGGUCCUAGACAUCUGAAUGAAUAUAUUCAACUAGUAGUUUGGUCGAAUGAAUAGCUGUAGUAAAUUUAACUUGGUGCUGCUUCCCAUAGAUGCAGUGCUUACAUAAGUCCAGCUUCCUUGUUUUCUAACCCUUUAACAACCCCCUUUUACUCAGCAUUGUUAUACCUGUCUCACUCAUGUGCCCCAAAUGCAUAUGCCAUAAUUGAGUCAAGUUAAAGUCUAACUCACCUGAUGAAACUACAGCGGUUCCGGUCACAGUCUCUCCCAGUAGAUUGUAGAGAGUAUUCACUUUCUUCCCCUUCAUCACUAUCAUAGCACCUCGAGAGAUCUUCAGUACUCCACCUUUAGCAGUGUACUUGCACCCAAUGUCAUCGAGUGUCCCCAAAGAAAUAAGAUUCUUUUUGAGCUCCGGUAUAUACCUCACAUCUGUCAAUGUGCGCACCACCCCAUUGUGCAUCCGAAUUCGAAUUGUCCCUAUCCCCACAACCUUACAGACUGCAUUAUUCUCCAAAAGAACUCUACCACCAUCUGUAGUCUGGUAAGUAAUGAACCAGUUCUUAUGAGGCGUCAUAUGAUAAGAACACCCCGAAUCUAGCAUCCAUUCGUUUCCUGACGAAGUAGCAAUCACAUAUGAAAUAACUUAUGCAUCACUAUUGCUCCAUUCGGCAACAUUUGCCACAUUGCUUAUGAUAUUCUACAUAUCGGCUUUAUUCAUUCGCUUUGGACAAUCUCUCUUGAUGUGCCCCUCCUCGUGACACUCAAAGCACUUCACGAGUCCUUUGAACUUUUUAUGGCGUGAUUUUGAUAUGCUUUUAGCUCUGCUGCUACUAGGCCCUCAAUGUUGUUCUCUACCUCGAAUCGUCAGUACUUGCGCUACUCCUUACGCCAGACCGUCAUCUCACAACUUUCUCUGCCACUCCUUAGAGAAUAAGGCGGACUUUACAUUUUCUGAGAUAAUAGUAGUAUGCCCCUGCAAUAGUGAAUCAGUAAAGUGCUCUCAUGACUUUGGUAAAGAGACUAACAAUAUCAUGCCCUGUUCUUCAUCAUCAAGUAUCUUAUCGACAUUCUUCAAAUUCAUCAUGAGUUUAUUAAAUUCAUCUAGGUGGGUUCUGAUACAUAUCUUCAGUAUAUCUAAAUUGAAACAUUUUUUUCAACAUGUACAAGCGAUUGUUCAAACCUUUCUUCACAUAGAGUGCUUGAAGCUUUGCCCAUAAUGCCGCGGCAUCCUUCUCUUUAGCAACCUCUAUUAAGAUCUCAUCCGAAAAAUUUAACAGGAUUAUACUCUUUGCCCUUUCCAUUAGCUCUACCCUCUCUGAAGCUUUCAUUAUAAUUGAUAACUCAUCUUCACCAUCCAAUGCUUUAGCUAAACCUUGAGUUGUCAAUAAUGCCCGCAUCUUGAUAAUAAUACCUGCAUCUUGAUGCUCCAUAACACAAAGUUGUUGCUCUCGUUAAACGUUUCAAUUUCAGAUUUCUUCUCAGACAUAAUUGCAAUAACAGAAUUUUCAGAUAAUAAUCAAACAAGCAAAAGCUCCAAAUCACAAUCAAGAAAUCCAACCCCAAGCUCUGAUACCAAUUUAUGGAAUAUAAUACGCGGAAACAAUAGGAUUUUGCAAUUUACGUCAACACAAAAUUACCAGAGAAAUAAAUGAGAAAUAAUAAGAACACUAGAAAUUUAUGUGAAUCGGUCCAAGUAUCGGUACCUACGUCCACGGGGAGAGCCAGUAGCAAAUAAUCUACUAUAAUAAGAGAAUCAGAGUUUACAAUCACUCACACACUCAAGUGUUUCCCACACCUAGAUUUAACCCCAAACCAAAAGUAUUUAUAAAUAAAUAACUCACUUGGACAAAAAACUCAUGGCACAAAAUUAAAGUACGUUCAAUCUCAAAACAAAACGCUCUACGUAUGCCAAAAUCAAGAACUCCGGCGUUCAUCUUUGGUCCACGUACGUAAAUCUUCAUGUUCCUUUGGAAAGCUUCGCGUGGCUUGCGUGGACAUGCGGCUCCUUUUUGUUCUACUUUCAUAGGGCUUCGGUGGCUUCUCUUACGUAAGGGGAAAAAGACCUGCAACAAAUUUAUGUUUUUAUACGUGUGUGCCUAGGUCAAAGGUUGACCUGGGCCCACCACGUUUUGUUUCACGUGCAGAGGCUCUACGUGCAUGAGCUUCUCACCUUUUUCCUUCCUUUGUUUCCAUCAGCUAAAACCAUCAGCUAAAAGAAGAAAAUCUAGGCAUGAAAGUUGUGUGCCCAAAGUCAAAUAUUUGACUUUGGGCCCCACUUAGAUGAAUAUAACUUGGAUAAGGAUUCGGCAAGUCCUGCAGAUCAAGGAAGUGAGAGGGAUUCGACUCCUUUUUAUUUUAUUUUAUUUUAUUUUAUUUUCUCUUUUGUAAAUCUUCAUGGAGUCCCACAAACUUCCUCAUCCAAGCGAAUCGUGUUUUACAAAAGCUCAAACUCGAGACAUAAUUUAACGAAGUGUGUGGUUAUCAAAACAUUUUUUCAAUACUAUCAAAACAAUACUCGAGAUCAAAAGACCUCAAUUUCAACGGUUAGUGAAUGAGCAAUUAGGGGUUAAUGUAUCAAUGAAUCAAAACCUAUGUUGAAAAUAUUGAUGGGUGGGUAUAAGGAAGAAUAUGCGCAGGUUUAAGAUUAUGCUGGCGAAUGUAUGUUUCAAAACCCAUCUAGUAUGAUAUAUGUAUAGGUUGUGGAGAGGCUACUCUCUAAUCUUGGGUCUAGAUUUGAUAGAUUUUAUGUUUGUUUUGAUGCAUGCAAACGGAGCUUCUUGGUUGGUUGUAGAAGAGUUAUAUAAUUGGAUGAAUGCUUUUUAAAGGGUUUAUGCAAGGGGGAGUUGUUGGCUGCUGUGGAGAGAGAUGCCAAUAAUCAAAUGUUUUCGAUAGCUUGGGCGGUGAUGAAGAUAGAGAAUAAGGAUAUUUGGUCUUGGUUCCUAAAAAAUUUAAUGGCUGACCUAGAUAAUCAAUGGGGGAGGAUGGACAUUCAUGAGCAACCAAUAGAAGGUAAUUCCAUUAUCGAUUAAUUCAUUCUCUUUUAAUAUUAAUCACUUGCAUAUUUUACUUGACUUGUAUGUAUUUGUUUGAAUUUUUUUAGUGACUUAUUCCUACAUUGGUUGAGUUGAUGCCACAUACUGAGCAUAGAAUGUGCGCGAGGCAUAUAUAUGCAAACUGGUCAAGGAACGUCAUAGGAGAUAGGUUGCGGAAGCAAUUCUAGUAGAUAGCGAAGAGUACCAACAUGACCGAUUUAAGAUUAGCCAAACAGGGACUGUUGCAGCUAACAAAGGAAGGUUUUAAUGCACUCUUCUAAAUAGAAGCUAAGCACUAGUGUUAAGCCUUCUUCAACGAAGAGUUCAAAUGUGAUAUUAUUGAUAAUAACCUCAGUGAAGCUUUCAAUGGCAGAAUUUUAGAGGCCGGGUGGAAACCAAUCAUCAGCAUGCUUGAUGCUAUUUGAGUUAUGGUCAUGACUAGACUACAUAGGCAAAGAGAUGAGGCUACGGAGUAGACUAGAAACUGUGGUCCUAGGAUUGUGAAAAGAUUGGAUGCAAACAUUACUACUAAUAGAUUUUGUCAUCCAGUUUGGAAUUGAGAUAAUGGAUAUGAGAUUAUUCAAAAUCAUGAUAAGUAUGUUGUCAAGUUAGAUAGAAGAAAGUGUUCAUGUCAAGCUUGACAACUGAAUGGAAUUCCAUGUGUCCAUGCCUUUUGUGCUAUUCAUAUGAAACAAGAAAACUCAGAUAAUUACCUAGAUGAUUGGUACAAAAAAGCUCAUACCUUACUUCAUACCAAUUCAUGAUGCAGCUUAUCAAAAGCAGCAAAUUUUGGGAGCCAACAAAUCAUGAAAGUCCUCUACCUUUGCCAUUGAAGAAGCCAAUAGGAAGGCCAAAAAUGAGAUAAAGAAUGCAGCAGAAAGAUGCUUCAAGUUAAAUGAUGAGUAGGACUGGGGAAAAGAUGAAAUGCUCCUAUUGCCGCAAGGAAAUGCACAAUAAAAAAGAUUGUGAGCUGAAAAAGUAGCAUCAACAGCAAAAUGUAAUGACUGAUUUAGUGCUAGGGACAAGACUUACUGAAGAGCUUCUUGUUAGGUCUACUGAAGGGAUGACAGAAGGCCCUGUUGUAAUGCUUACUGAAGGGCAGACAGGAUGUCCUGCUGUAAGGUAAGUAUCCUCUUUGCCUUAGUAACUUUUUAGUUCAUAUUUGAUAGAGUUUGAUGGUUGACCAUGUGGACUGGCUUCUCUUGUGUUUUUUCUCUGUCAUGCACUUAUAAUUUGAGAAGUUUUCUCCAUUUGUUUCCACCAUGAAAAUGAGUAGAUGUUUAAUUAUUCAUUGUAGUUGGUCAUAAUCCUAAUAUUGUACAUUGUUGUAAGGCCUACUAAAGUGCCAAAAUAAAGCACUGUUGUAGGCUCAAGUGUAGGGAUAGGGAUUGGAACGGGCAAGACAUCAAUAACAACAACUGAGUCCACUGUUGAGCAAACAAGAAAAAAAUUUCCUGUAAGUUGUACAUCGCCGUGUUUGUCUUUUAUGGGCUGAAAUUUAAAAUUGUUAUGUGUUUCUCAGAUAAGGAGACGAUCAACUGUACAAGUUGUAGAGGUUGCUCCCCCAUUUGUUGCUGUUGAAAAUGAUGCACCAUAGUGAACAAGAGGAGCUCUUGGAAAAAGAUUUAGGCAAUAUGGUUAUGAGAUUUACACAGAUAAAACGUAUUAGAAUGACUAUUUUGAAUGUAAGAUUUGUAGACCUCGUGCAUUUAAUUUGUUGUACUUCAAUUAUUUUGGUUGACAAUAUCGCUAUGUGCAUGUAGCCUAGGAGAACUUCAGAGGUACUUCUCUCUCAAGGUGGGCAAACUCAAUAAUCAAAAGCGCAGCCAAAGAAGAAGACAGCGGGUAUAGCUGCAAAACAGCUAUUCAAAAAGAACCCAGCACCAAUUCCAUCUCAACCAACGAUUGAGAGCAAUAGUGAUCAUAUGGACCAACACAUGACACGUGCUAGAACAAAAAUAGCCGCUGUCAAGAACAAGGAAAAUGAGGUGACAAAAAGCUCAGUUGAAGAACCUGCACAUCUAGUUUAAAAGAGUACUUGGGUUAUGAAUCAAUUCAAAGCUCCAAGAGAAAAAAAGAGAUUGAGGUGUUAUGCAUAUUGACUGAUGGGAGGGUGCUGGACAUGGUCUCUUUUUAUGUGGUGUUGGACAUGGUCUUUUUUAUGUUUUCUUAUUUUAGGAGGGUGUUGGAUAUUAUAUCUUUAUUGAUGGUAGUUGCUACCAUUAUUUUUUGAGGAGUGUGCAUAUUGCCAUUGUUUUUUUUUUUUUUAAGAGGGUGUUGAACCUUUAGUGAUUGAGGAGUAAAGUUAGACAUGUUUUUCUUUUGUAAACAAUCAAUCAAUGUCAAUGGAAAUAGCUAUUUUUGUUAUUUUCUCUUGUGUUGGUUUCGGUUAGUAAUGCUAGCAAGACAGUUAUUAGUUAUGUUGUAUAAUUUUUGUUGUUGGUGCAAUGUUCUUAUGAGGUUGAUAUUAUUUUUAGAUGUGUGCAUAUACUGUUAUUGGUUGAAAUUGUGGAUGCUAAUGAAUUUGUGGGUUCUAGUUGUAUGUGCUGGUGCAAGAACAAAAUGCACUAGCUCGCCUUAGUGUAGUUGUGGGAGCUACAUUUUCUUGAAUGAGCAAUUUUGGAUACUGGUGCAUUUUGUUACAUCAACACUUGUAUGGACUGGUGCAAGAAGAUGCACUAGCAACUUAAUUGGUGCAAGAUGCACCACGACUACUGCAAGUCAAGUGACGUUUGAAACUAACAUGUUCUUUUUUUAAAAACUUGUGCAACACAAAUGAUCACUUUAUAAUCACAACUGGCACUUAAAUGAUCACUUUUAUAAAAACUUGGCACUCAAGUGAUCACUAUUUACAACUUAUGGUAUUAAAAUGGUCAAUCGUGAGUUUGUCACCAUCCCUUAAUUUCGCCAUGGUUUGCAGUUGCAGCAAACCAGCAAACCAGCAAACCAUUACCAAAUAAAAAUGUAGCAAACCAUUAUAUCUGAAGCAAAAACUAAAUAAAACAAACAUUGACAAUACACAACUAAACAAUAAAACUUUUAAGUACUCACAACUAAUGCAUUCCAACUUCAACAUUUCAUUUCUACCAUAGAUUACAACAAAACCUUCUGCUCCAUAUAAAAAUUGCAGCAAAGCACAAACACAUUUUACUUCCAUUUCAACGUUUUCAACUAUGGUAGACAUACAAACUUCUUCUCAUUACUCACUUCAUAUUUGAAUAAACUACACAAGAGAAUAACAACACAAUCAACGUUCGAUAAAAGUUUCUUUCAAUUUUUAGCCUUGAAACCUCCAUGCUCAAAUGGUCGACCAGAGAUGCUAAACUCUUCAUUUGAGCUUGCAUUGAGUUGACAUCCUCUAACUCAUCCAUUAAUGUAGGUGGAGAUUGAUGUUGGCCUUCAAGUAACUCCAAGAUCACCUCUGUCGCUCGAUUAGAGAAUUUCUUAUCAACCCAUUUGAAAUAUUUGCACUUCGAGCCUUCUCUAUAUUUGCCGCACCCAUGUAAUCUUCUCCUGGGAUUCAAUUAAGUCCUAGAUAUUUUUCUCGGACUCAGUAACUCACAAUAACAGUAGCACUCACCAUCUAAUUCGUUUAUUUAUUUAUUUAUUUAUUUAUAGGAAUGUGAUCUGCUGCUAAAGUUUCUGCCCUCCAUUUGCAAGAGUGAGCUGAUAACUUUGGGAGAAAAUCGAAGUAUGCACUCGAAUUGGUCAAAUUGGAGAUUUAGGGUUUUCAACUUCUGGUUUUGGUCGAAUUUGGGGAUUCUUAUUUGGGGCAAAAGGCGCUAAAUGGUGUUGUUUUGUUAUUUGUAUGUUGAUUGUACUCUCCGGCAAUCCACGCCGGCUUCAAAAAUUAAUAAAAAAAUGCCACGUCGGAUUUCCGGCUAACUAGAUCGGCGUUGGCACUGAAAUGAUUGUUUUUCAAAAUUUUUGGCACUUAAGUGAUUCGAUGGAAAUUUUUGGCACCAAAGUGAGCGCCAUACACAACUUUUGGCAUUGAUAAUGUACUUACCCUACAUAUAUGUAAUUUCCAUAUUAAUUAUGUAUGCCCUAGGCUCUUACUAUAUAUAGGACAAUGCCUUUUAUAAUUGUAAAGCUGAAGCUUGUAACCCUAGAACUUGUAACAUUGAUAAUGAUAGUGAAAGAUUACCUAAGGCAGCAUCAUUGUUUUUUUUUUUUUUCCAUUUUCUUGAUUUUGGUAAGGAUUUUCCACAUACAAAAUUCUUGGUUGUUUUCUUCUCUAUUUUUUCUCUUUAUAUAUUCGCAUUCCUAAUAAUUGGUAUUGGAGCCUGGUUUUGGCGAAAUAAUGCAAGUGAAUAUGGACAAAGGGAACUUCUUACUUUCACCGAAAAAACAAAAAAUAUGGACAAAGGGAAGGUGAAGAUCAAUCAUUUGAUGGCAAGGACUUUGGUUUAUGGAAGAUGGAAAUCAAGGAUAUGUUCUACUAGAAAAACUUGCAUCAGUCUCUGUCUAGAGAGAAAUCGGACUUCAUGAAUCAAGAAGAGUGGGAAUUCUUAGAUCGACAUGCUUUGGAUUUGAUUCGUCUUACAUUGGUGCAGAACGUUGCUUUCAACAUUGUCAAUGAGGUGACAACGAUGGAUUUGAUGGCGGCGUUGUCCAAUAUGUAUGAGAAGCCUUCCACAUCAAACAAGGUACAUUUGAUGCGUCGUCUUUUCAAUCUAAAGAUGAACAAAGGUGCUUCCAUGAUAGAUCACAUCGAUGAAUUCGACGUGAUCAUGACUUAAUUGAGUUUGGUGGAUAUCAAAUUCGAUAACGAGGUAAAGGUUUUAAUUUUAUUGUCUUCUCUACCUGAAAGUUGGAGUGCAACUGUGACUACAGUGAGCAAUUCGUCUAGAAAGAAAAAGUUGAAGCUGCAAGCAAUCUGAGAUUUGAUUCUUAGCAAGAAUAUUCGUAGAAGAAAAUUGGGUGAAUUUUCGAGUGCUACCUUAAAUACUGAAGGUAGAGGAGGAAGCAAUCAAUGAGGGUGGAACCAGUAUCGUGGUAGAUCGAAAUCUAGAGGAAGAAGUAAAUCAAGAUCUCAUGGAGAAAUAAUUUGAUGGAAUUGUGAAAAGAAAGGCUAUUUGAAACGAGAUUGUAGAGCCCCAAAGAAGAAAUUUCAGUAUUGAGACCAAAAUCAUGAGGAAGAAAAAUCUGUGAAUGCAACUCUUGAAGAGACGCAUGAUAGUAAUGCUUUAAUUUUGAGCAUUGACAGUCCAAUUGAGUCUUAGAUUCUUGACUCAUGUGUAUCGUUUCACUCUACUUCAUGCAAAGAAUUAAUGCGCAAUUUUAUUGCUGGAAAAUUUGAAAAGGUUUAUCUUGCUGAUGAUGAACCUUUGGAUAUUAUGAGAAAAUGUGAUGUUUAAAAAAAUCUAGUAAUGAAUAUCAAUGGAAGUUGCAUGAUGUUAGAUAUGUUCCAGGACUCAAGAGAAAUGUAAUCUCUAUAAAUCAAUUAGAAAGCACGGGAUACAUAACUAUUUUUGGGGAUGGCUCUUGGAAAAUAGUUAAGGUACUUUGGUUGUAGCAUAGGAAACAAAGUUAGGAACACUCUACAUAACUAAAAGCAAUAGAGAAACCACAACAUUUGCUAAGUUCGAAGUUGAUUCCAAAUUAUGGCAUUAUAGGCUUAGACAGACGAGCAAAAAGGGAAUGGAAUUAUUAGCAUCUAAGGGAAAACUACCUAAUAUGAAGUCCAUAGAUAUUGGUCUAUGUGAAGAUUGUGUUAUGGGCAAGCAGAAAUGUGUUAGUUUUUUGAAAAUUGGGAGAGAACCAAAGAAAAGAAAAUUAGAAUUGGUGCAUACAGAUGUGUGGGGACCAGUUCUUGUGAAUUCCCUUGGAGGCUCGCAGUAUUAUGUCAUGUUCUUGACGACUCCACUAGAAAGGUAUAGGUUUAUGUUUUGAAAAAUAAAUCAGAUGUGUUUGCUACUUUUAAGAGAUUGAAAAGCUGAAGUGGAGAAUGAAACUGGUCUAAAUAUUGAAUAUCUAAGAUCUGAUAAUGAUGAUGAGUAUGAUAGCAAGGAGUUCAAGCAAAUUUAUGUAGAGAAUGGAAUCAUAAUGACAAGAAUUACUCCCAACAAACUGCAACAAAACAGAGUUGCUGAAGAAUGAAUAUUACUUUGAAUGGGCGUGCAAGAAGUAUGAGGUUGCAUGCAGGAUUUCUCAAGAUGUUUUAGGCGGAUGCAAUUAACACAGCAGCAUAUUUGAUUAACAGAGAACCUUUUGUUCUGCUUGCUUUUACCAGAAGAAGAAUGGAGUGGCAAAAAGGUAAAUCUCUCACAUUUGAAAGUUUUUGGUUAUGUUUCGUAUGUCCAUGUAAAUUAUGAAAAUAGAGAAAAGCUUUAUGCAAAAGCUAAAAAUGUUUUUCCAUUGGAUAUGGUUCUAAUUAUUUCGGUUAUCAAUUUUGGGAUGAAUAAAAUAAAAAAAAUAAAAAGAAUUGCUGAUGUUACAUUCAAUGAAAACAUAUUGUAUUAAGACAAAUCUGCACCAAAAUCUCGUGUGAAGAAACAAACGGUGGAGAAUAGAGAGAUUAAACUAGAGGAGGUUUCUAAGAGUGUUUUGGUUGAAAUUUCCGAAACUAUUGUUGUUGACUCUGAUAAAAAAAACUAGAACAAGAAUUACGUAAAUUUGAACCGACUAUGAGAAGAUCUAAUAGAACACCUAAACCUAUACAAAGAUAUUCUCUACCAUUGUAUUAUUUGCUUUUGACUGACGUUGGUGAAUCGGAAAAUUUUUUGGAAGCAGUGUAGGUUAAAGAUUCUGUUAAGUGGGAGUUAGCAAUGUAGGAUGAGUUGGAUUAACUUGAGAAAAUAGAACUUGGGUGUUAAGUCAAUUACCGGAUAGGAAGAAAGCAUUGCAGAAUAAGUGAGCGUAUUGGGUCAAAAAAGAACCUGAUGGCAGCAAAUGAUACAAAUCAAGAUUAGUAGUAAAAGAGUUUCAACAAAAAUGAAGAAAUUGAUUGCAUAGAUGUUUUUUCUCCAGUUGUGAAAUUGUUUACUAUUAGGUUAGUAUUGAGUAUUGUUGUCGUUGAAAAUUUAUAUCUGGAGCAGUUAGAUGUUAAGGUUGCAUUCCUCCAUGGUAAUUUGGGAGAGAAUAUUUACAUGAUACAACCAGAAGGUUUUCAGGUUUCUAGAAAAGAAAAUUAUAUUUCCAAAUUGAAGAAAAGUCUUUUUGGCUUGAAAUAGGCUCUUAGACAAUGGUACAAGAAAUUUGAUACUUAUGUGUGUUAACGGGUUCACUAGAAGUGAUAUGGAUUAUUGGUGUUACUUUAAGAAAUUUGAUGACUACUAUAUUAUUUUGCUAUUGUAUGUGGAUGAUAUACUCAUCGCAGGAUCUAGCAUGGGAGAGAUCACCAUACUGAAGUAGCAAUUGUCAAAAGAGAUUGAGAUGAAAGAUUUGGGUGUAGCGAAUCAAAUUCUUGGGAUGAGGAUCACAUGAGAUAUAUCCAAAGGAAUUUUAAAGUUAUCUUAAGAAAAGUACAUUAAGAAGGUGCUAGAUAGGUUUGGAGUUUAAUGCAAAGCCCAGAAGUACACCUUUAGGAAGUCACUUCAAGCUCUCAAAGAAGCAGGCAUUGAAGAUAGAUUAAAACCAGGAUUAUAUGGCUAAGGUGCCUUAUGUAUCAGCUGUUGGUAGUUUAAUGUACGUUAUGAUAUUUACUCGAAAAGACAUAGCUCAUGUAGUGGGAGUUGUGAGCAGAUACAUGGCAAAUCCAUAAUAAAGCAUUAGGAAGCUAUAAAGUGAUUAUUAAGAUAUAUAGGAGGCACUUCUGGUAUGUCAUAAUGUUUGAUGAAAAAUGGUGUAACUUUACAAGGCUUUGUUGGUGUAGAUCUUGGUGGUGACUUGGAUAAUAGGAACGUCACCUCAGGUUGUGUUUUUACGUUAGGUGGCACUAAGAUUGGUUGGAUGUCUAGAUUUCAGACAUGUGUGUUUCUCUCAACCACCGAGGCAGAGUAUGUUGCUAUUUCUAAAGCUGGUAAGGAGAUGAUUUGGUUGAAAAUUUUUGAAGGAGAUAGGCAAGGAGCAAGAUAAUAUUGUUAUUUUUAGUGAUAGUUAGAGUGCUAUUUGUCUUGCAAAGAAUCCGAUAUUUCAUUCAAGAACAAAACACAUUGAGUUAAAGUAUCAUCAAAUUCAUUAGUUGAUAAAUAAUGGGACUUUGUCAUUGAAGAAGAUUCUUGGUGUAGAAAAUCCAGCCAAUAUGUUAACAAAUGUUGUCACCAUUGAAAACUAAGGCUGUGCAUCACCUCAGUUGACCUCCAUGGUAAGUAAUGAGGGAGGGCUUUGCACUAGGACAAUUUGGGCUACAAAGAUAAAGACUAUGAAAGAUUAUUGCUGUUUUUUCAAAGAUUAGUCUCCAAGUGGGAGAUUGAUGGAGUUGUGGAGUCUGAUAGAGGAAAAAAAUAGUUAAGCAUAGAAAUAAUUUAUUUUACGCAGACACUUCCCAAUAGGUCACCUUUCCUAUAAUGUUAAAGUAGGCAACAUGGAUUUUAUUAUUGCUAAUGGCAUACAUGUAAUUUCCAUUUUAAUUAUAUAUGCCCUAGAUUCCUACUAUAUAGAGAGCAAUGUCUUUUAUAGUUAUAAUACUAAAGCUUGUAACCCUAGAGCUUGUAACACUGAUACUGAUAGUGGAAGAUUGGCUAGCAUAGCACGAUGGUUUUUCCCUUUUUCCGCUUUUGGGAAAAGUUUUCCUCAUAAAAUUUCUCUCUUGUUUUCUUCUCUAUUUUUUCUCUUCAUAUAUUCGUGUUCCUAACAUAAUCAAGCUUAAUCUGUCAUGGUUUUCGACAUUUGUAGCAAACCACAUCUUAAAAAUUUGCAUAGUUUUGGGGAUUUUUCUUUUGGUUUUGUGUAUAAUUAACUUAGACGAAAAUUGCUAGCCGUGACUUGUAAGACAGUCACGGGUGGCUGGACAGCCAUGUCAUAAUUCUAGGGGUAACUUAGUCAGAAGGACAUGAUUGCAUUAUCAUUCAAAAGUAGAGUAGUGCAUUGGUUCAAUUAAAAAAUUUAUGACUCAAUUGGAAUUUGUAUUAUAGAUUUGGGAUUGAUAUUGUAAACAUGCCAUCAAACGUCAUUCGCCUUCAAGUCAACUUUACUAGUAUUAUAGCACUGUCCGAUUCAUAUACAAAUUCUCAAAGCUCUGUGAGAUUUCUCUACAGAUGAUUGACAAUCUUUGAAAAGGUCAAAACUCUAUGAACUUCACAAGCAAUAUAUAUAUAUAUAUAUAUAUAUAUAUAUAUAUAUAUAUAUAUAUAUAACAAACUUAUUAAAAAAUUAUAAAAAAAAAUUAGGGUUGCAUCAAACAUACUCCCAUUCUUUCUUUUUUUUUAUUCUAGGACUAGAAAUAGUGUAUAGUUACCAAAUGUGUUAUCUUAUUAAAAAACUGUUUUACGGAAUAGAAAUAGAAAAAAAAACAUAUUAAAAAAAAAUUGUUCUCUGGAAUAGAAAUGUUACCAAACGCACUUGAAACAUAUUGUGUUUGUCUUUCUGUUGUGAGAAAAGAUCAUCGGAUGGACUUUGAAUUUGAGGUCUGUUACAGAUUUACAUUUACUUAUCAUGCGUUGAGGCUUUUGCUUCUAUUCAAUACAUAAUGAUUGAAGCUAACUUUGGUUGAUUAAUUCGAUCAAUUCAUCAAUGGUCGGCAAGUAUGAUGGUCCUAAUGAUAAUCCUGCACGUAUUUCGUGUGUAUCUCCCUGGUGGUUUUAAAAACCCUCACGAAUUAACUUGGCUUAUAAGUGUGGUUUUGGCUGUAUUGACCGCAUCCUUUGGUGUAACUGGUUAUUCCUUACUUCAGGACCAAAUUGGUUAUUGGGCAAUCAAAAUUGUAACAAGUGUACCGGAAGCUAUUCAUGUAAUACUCUUUAGUAGAGUUAUUACGUGAAAGUGCUACUGUGGGACAAUUCACUUUGAAUCGUUUUUAUAGUUUACACACUUUUGUAUUACCUCUUCUUGCUGCCGUGUUUAUGUUUGGUCGGGGGGUCUCUAGAAAGCCAUUUUAUGAAAUCUCAGAGAGAUCAAAAUAAAAAUAAAAAAGUACAAAUACUUUAUUUAUCACCAAGUAGAGCUAAAUACUAUACGGUAUAUAUAUCAAAGGGAAAGCGACGGAGAUCUCACCCAUGGAGUAUGGUCUGGAUGGGUGAGAUGGAGAAGUGUCGUUAAGGCUUUGGGCAACUAUGGAAUGCCAUUUAAUUAGUCGAAGGAAAAUUUUUAUAGGAUGACAACAAGGUCAAUGAAGCCUUACGGCACGAAUUACGAGGAAAAUGUAUUGUGACGUGCACACAAAAUGAGCGUAGAUGAGAGGAUGCGUUAUUUGAUUAAUAAUUACACACAAAAAAACUAGAAAUGAAUAUAUCCAAGAAAAAUCGGUGUUACCCAAUCGGGGAUAAGAUGAGAGAAUGUUGUUCACGGUGGAUUCAUCAUGUCAAAUUGAAGAUUUUCAUAUGCUUUAGUGAGGACAUAUGAGCAAAAUGUGUAGACGAAGUUAGAAGGGAUCGAAAAGUACUCAAAUGGGCGUGAAAGGAGACUAAUGAAAACAUAGAGCAUUUAGAACCUCUAGAGAAUCUAACAUGUGAUCGGCAGUGUGGGUCUUCGUGUAGUUAAUGAAACUUUAAAGCAACGACUCUGUACGUGAGGUCUGAAGCGCUGUUUCAUGAGUGCUUGCCAUGGAUUUCUCCACUGUCUUUGUGUGAUUUACACCAAGAAAUUUUUAGUAUUGAAGUCGAUUAAAUGCAUGUGGCAAGAAUUUGUAUAUGAUUUCUUCGUAAAGUUGAGAGAUUAUUUGAUGAUGAAUUAUUGAGCUUAAACAUUGCGUGAGUUAUUGAGUGUAAUUGGGGCUUGAAAAAUAACGAGUGUUUGAGUAAUUCAAGUGUGUAAUCACCGUUGUAUUGUUUGAUCUAUAGUCAAAUUACAAUAAGCCUCAAAUUUUAUUGGAACAAUAAUAUAUUGUUCACCCUUUGAAUAGUCCAGAAUGUUGGGUAUGUGAACUUUUGCUCUAAUACCCUUUGUAGGAUGGUUACACUAGAGAAUUGUAAUAGACAAUUAAAAACACACUCAUUAUACUAAAUUGCGGCACAAGUAUAACACUCAAAAAUUGUCUCACUCUUAUACAACUAUUACAAUAUAGUCUCUUUCUUACCACACUAUAUACUCAAAAUACUCAAAACAAAGUAGCUGAUACAAGCUCAUACACUUAGCUAUUCUAUCUUCCCUUCUCAAUCAUGGAGGGAUAACUCGCUCACACAGAACUACUAAGGCUGCAGUGGCUCGCUUUUGAAGUUCACUUAUGCACUUGUCGGCUUCCUCUUUGGCCUAAGGCUCUCCGCCUUGACCUGAGGCUGCGAUGCCUCUCUCUGUGGCCUUGAGGCAUGCCUAAGUCUCUCUGUUCCGCUUGCGGUGGCUUCAGGUUGUUAAGCCUCUCUUUGAGGCCUUUCGGCCUGUCUUCAAAUGCUUCACUGAUUGCCUUAUUUAUAGGCUGAGGUUUUCACCACUUCUUGAAGAUUGUUGACUUCAGUGUGAACUGAGAACAGCCGCAACUUUUUCAUUUCAAGCCGAAGGCCGAGUUGAACUUCGCUUUCUUUGUUCUUUAGACUUUUCUUUUACGAAUGUCGGACAGCUGGAGUGCCAAAAUUUAGCACGGAGAGACACUUAAAUGCUAAAAAUUAGAAAAGUGAUAUUUAAGUGCUAAAAUCGGAAAAAAAAACUGGAUCACUUAAAUGUCAACGAUGAGAGAAUUGGGCCAAAAUGCUAUUGUGGCAAUUUUUCGACAAGGCAAGUGCAAAAUAAAGUUGUUUUGCUUCUGAUGUGGAUAAGUAAUUAAAAUAAAAAUUAAUUAAAUUAAAUUUAAAACUAAAUUUAUUUUAAAAGCAAAAAAACGAGAGAGAGAGAGAGAGAGAGAGAGAGAGAGAGAGAGAGAGAGAGAGAGAGAGAGAGAGAGAGAGAGAUUGUAGGCGAUGAGGGCUGGCUAGGGUUGCUGGGCCUUGGCUAGGGGCUAGUGACCUCAGCUGACCGGAGGUGAGCACCUGUGAGCCCUUGCCUAGAUCCCCUAGCAAGUGGCGGCCCUUGGCUUGGUCGGACAAGGGUCACCGACCCUCGUUGGAUCUGGGGGAGGGCCAUGUCCCUUGCCCUAGACCGCAAGCCCUUGCCUUUGGAGAGGCCGAUGACCUCGGCCCGCCCUCCCCCCACCGUUGCCGACCCUUCCCGGCAAAGGCGGGAGGAGGCGGUGGCGAGGGCUAAGCCCUCAGCCGCUUGCAAUUGUUCAUCUUCCUCCUUCCUCUCUCUCUCUCUCUCUCUCUCUCUCUCUCUCUCUCUCUCUCUCUCUCUCUCUCUCUCUCUCUCUCUCUCUCACUCUCUCAAAUUAAUUAAUUAAUUAAUUUUUAUAUUAAAAUUCAAAUCCGCGCCAAAAACGACAUUGUUUUGGCGUUUCUUUGCUGAGCAGCUCUCUAGCGAACCACGUAGGUGAGUAAAAUUAAUAUAGGAUUUUCAACAAGGUUCAUCAAAUGUGGCACUCAAAUGUCCAAUUUUUUUUUUCUUUAAAUGACACUUAAUUGUCACUUUCAUAAUUUUUGGCAUAAGUGUAUUCUCGUACCAAGUUUUGGCACUUGUGAUGGUACUUUUGCCUUUCUUUGAUCAAUUUGUCAACAAUUGUGGGCUGCAUGUCUAGUAACCGACUCCACGGAGAAUGGACUUCCUUUUUUCUUCUUCUUGUAAACUUUGUCUAGAAUUCUCACGUGUAGUGGAGAAUUCUUUCUUUGCUUUCUUCAUGCUUGCGUCUUCUUGUUUUCAUAUUAGGUGUUGACUUCAACACAGAAGACAAAUUUAAGAAAAAAACAAAUACGGGCAAUAUAGUCAACGUUCUCAUAAUGAGGCCUUCGGGAUUUGUGGGUAAACAAAAACUCAGAUCCCAGGCGAGAGCAUUCAAAGAAGGCAUACCUAGAUCCGAAAAGAGAGAAGAAAAUGAUGGAGAGAAAAGCAUUGUAUGGCUUAGCGGCUGUUCCACCACUAGUCCCUCUGUCCGUGUACGCCUACAAAGCCCUGCAGAGGAAAAGAUGCGCGGCCCCUCAGAACUACGAUGUGUUUUUGAAUUUCAGAGGCCCAGACACUCGCACCGGCUUUGUCGAUUUCCUCUCCAGCAGCCUUGUGGCUGCUGGGGUUCACGUGUUCAGGGACGACGACGCGCUCCCCAUCGGCGAAGAGAUAGAGCUGGAGCUCCUCCAGGCCAUCAGAAGUUGUAGGAUUGUGAUCCCCAUCAUUUCUGAACAGUAUUUUGAGAGUAAUUGGUGCCUUCGUGAGCUCACCGAGAUUAUGAAUUGCUCUGUAAAGCAUGACACAUCAGUCUUCCCUAUAUUCUAUAAGGUGGAUGUUGUUGAUAUACGUCGCCUACAUGAUAACUUUGGAGAGGCUCUAUUGAAACCAGAGAUACAGGGCAGGCGAGAAGACGUGACGAAAUGGGAGAAAGCGCUGCGUGAUGUAACCUAUAUUAGAGGAUGGAUAUCACAGACCAUUGCUAAUGGGUAUGUAUGUAUGUAUGUAUGUAUGUAUGUAUGCAUUUACGAAUCUACGAAUUGAACCCCUAUGCUCUUAGAUCGGACUGGAUGAUGCGGAAUCGCAGAGUCAGGGGAAGGAAGGCUAUAAGACUAACUUUGAUUUACACACAUGUGGUGGACAGGAACGAAGGAGAGCUGGUGAAAAUUGUGGUCGCAAGGGUUUUGAAUGAAUUGAAGCCAACAUGGAUCGAACGGCUCCCCCUGUUUCCUAUAUGGAUGUCUAAUCACCACAUAAGAGCAUGUAAGUAUUCUGUGUUCAUCAUGUGAGAGCUUUGGCCUCCUUAAUUCCACAUAAAGUCAUAAGGUUCGCAUGGUUUAUGACUACCGAUCUCGUGGCUUUUCAAAGUUACUUGGUCUUUUAGGAUUUUCAUAUGAUUCGUAUGGGCUGCAUCUCAUCAUCUCCCUUGGUGUGUCUUACUGGAUUACAGUGUAUCAUUACUAUUUGAAGGAGAAAAGAAGACUGCGUCAAUGCCAAGUGUUCUUGGCCUUUCGUGGCUGUGAUACUCGAUACGGCUUUGCUGCAUACCUAUACAUCAGCCUUGUGGCUGCAAAAAUCAGUGUGUUUUUUUAUGAUGAUAUGUCCAUCGUAGGUAAAGUCAUUAGUGAUGAGCUUAUAAAUGCCAUCGAGCACUGCAAGAUAUCAAUUCCAAUUCUCUCUCCAAAUUUUACCUCCUCUCAGUGGUGCCUCCGUGAGUUAGAAUCCAUGGUUAUAUGCAAGAAAACAAAGGGGCAAAAGAUAUUACCCAUCUUCUACAAAGUGAAUCCAUCGGACGUGCGAAAUUUAUCCCUUUCAUUUGAAUCAAAUUUUUUUAUACAUGAGAAGCAUUUUGGCAGAGAUUGUUCUGAGCAAUGGAAGCAUGCUCUCAAGGAGGUUGGGUCCUUUAAAGGAUGGGAAUCGGAGAAAAUUGCCAAUGGGUACUUAGUUUCAUCAUUCACAAAAAAAAUCUUAAUUUGGUCAUAUUACUAAAAACUUCUAAUACUACUUAGAGCUCACUUCAAUUUUGUUUGACGAUUGGCAGGCAUGAAGCGGUACUUGUGAAACAGAUCGUCGAGGAGGUUUUGAGGUUGUUGAAGAAUCCCCAAACACAAGAUGGCCAUCUCCAUCCACUGGAUAUUGACUCAUUCUUGGUGUAAGUAACACCUCAUUUUUAUCACUCGUGUUUCUUAUUUUACAAGAGGAUUUUCCGAGACCAUCAAACAUGUCAUCAAUUAUUGUUCAUCAUUUGCAUUAAUUUCUAAAGAAUGGUGAGAAAUUCUUUUGGAUUCAGAUGCAACAUGGUUAAUGGAUGUCUUAUGUUCGGAUUUACAAGUCUAUUCUGUUACAAAUAGAGAGAAUACAUAGAAGCGUAAAUGAGAGCAGGGAGACCAAAGGAAUGAAAGACGGAGAGAAAAUUGUCCAAACAAUAAAAGGUUCAAGUCACCUUAAUUAGUUAUCUAAAGGUGCCACGAAGGAGUUGCUAUCGAGUGGAAGUAAAAUGUGAUCCCCGAAAUGCAGAUUGACAUCUAAUUAAGUCAAGUACAUCUUCCUUACUCAAACUAAUCGAGCUCGUUCCAGCGCAAAACAAGAUGAGAAAACUAAAAUGGAAACAGCUGCAAUUUGCAUUCACAUAACUUGAAAUACACCACAAUGGGCUGGAUCACUGGAAGAUUAUAUCUCCUUUCUUCGCUUUCUUGUCUUCUUAAAACUAAAAUCUGAUCAUGCACGCAUGGGAAAAGAAGCCAUUUGAUACCUAGCUAAGGUUGUUGAGAGGGGCUUUUCCUUAGGAAUUGAGUAGGCAACAAUUGAAAGGAGAUCUCUAUAAUAUUUGAUUGUAUUUUUUCUUUGGAUUUGCAAAUAGGGUUAUUUUACCAUGUAUUAGUUUUCUUUUGGAGCAGAACAAGCCACUAGGAAAAAGAGAGUACAUUAUUUAUCUUUUUCAUGCAAUUUCAGUAGGAAACCAAUCUGGUUCCAUCAUCCCGUCCAUUACAAGUAGGAAUGACGUAAUGCGACAUGUGAGUAAUUACGAUAGAAUGAGGAGCUACUACUAUUGUACUCGACAAAUUUACAUGACUUCAACGAUCUUCAUCUCUAUGAAGAAACUUCAAUUGAAGUCACCAACAGGUUUGGGAAGAUGAACUUCAUCUCUUUAAAUAUCAGAGCACUGCUAGUUUCAAGUCAAUCCUGACUAUCUUCACCCAUUCAAUUGAUAGGUGAAUAAUUGUUUUCAUCUUUACAUUGGAAACAUCAAAACUAUGUUAUUUUGAAUUGACAAACCCG